rnacentral:lncRNA from 1 species
UGAUCAACGGUUCAACGGCCUAAUUAUAUAUCUCCAUAUAUAUAUAAAAAGGGACACUUUGGAUGCGGUCCCUAGCUAUCAAUAUUCUUUGAUUGAAAACUUGUUAGUUUUUAGUUUUUUAUUGAGGUCCCUGACAUUAAUGUAAUAAUGUAAGUUACUAUAUUUUUUAAAUUAAAAAUUAAAAAUUGAAAUUUGAAAUUUGUAAUUGUUUAUAUUAAUGAGAUUUUAAAUAAAACCCAUAAUUUAUGGGAUUAAAAAUAAUAAAAUAUAAAUUAUACUCUAUUAUAUUGUGUGUGUGUGUACAUAUAUGUAUGGGUACAUUAACCAAAAUUAACAAAAAAAGUUAUUGUACCAAAACAUGGAUACAUUCUCAGAUCAACGAAAAAGAAUGUAUCCAUAUAAGUUUAAACAUGGAUUAAAAAAUUUGAAUGGAUUUUAUAUUAAAAAAAAGGGUACAUUUUACAUAUAACAAAUUGAUAUAUUUGAGAAUGGGUACAUUUAAGAUUAAAAAAAUUGAAAAAUUAUAUGAAUGGGUACAUUUAAGAUUAAAAAAUUGAGAAUCUUUUUAUGUAUAAAAAAAAACUAAUAGGUACAAACUUAAUUUAAUUUAAUGUUUUAUUAUUUUGGAAAUGUUUGAAUUGAAAAUUAAUUAGAAGUUUAAUAGAGGUGUGAGUAUUAAACCCUAAAUUAAUUACUAAUUUUUAUAUUAAAAAAUUAUAUAAUAAACAUGUAAAUUCAUUAUCACAUUAUUGCUAGGGACUUGAAUCAAAAUUUAAGAACUAAUAAGGUCUUAGUCAAUGAACAGUAAGAACUAAGGAUCGGAUACUAAUUUUUUCUAUAUAAUAUUAAUAAGAAGAUCCAUGCAUCAUGCAUGAUAUAUUACUGCAAUGCAAGAGUGAGAUACGGUCUUUCUGUAUGUAAUUUUGACUUCAAGAAUUUUAGCUAUAGCACACCCCUUGUAUUGGUGUGGAUUAAGAUGAAAGAGCACCGACUUCGGUGGCAAUUAUCAGUAGCCACCAUGCAGCCACUGAAUAAGAAUCCAUGUCCUAUGUAAACAUCUUCAUUGUAACAAACGCCACUAUUUCUACAUCCGUGUAAAAAGGUAAUAGUACAAGUCUCAUUAUAUUCGAUCUUUUUAUUUAAAAUAGGAAGUUUAACGAAAAGUUCCUGGAAUUGUUUACUUUAACGAAAAAUCAUAUUUUUACACUAAAAAGUUAAUCAUGAUAUUAUUCACUUUACUAUUUAUUUUAUUUUUAUCAUUAAAACAAAAAGUUUUCAGACACUUUUUAUUAGUUUUCUUUUAUUUAUUUAUAAUUAAAAAUAGUAAGUAAAUCUUGUUAGAGAAAAUGUCCUUUUUGCAUCAGUGUCCAGAUAAGAUGAGAGAAAAUCGGUUACGGUGGUUUGGACAUGUGCAAAGAAGGCCUACUGACGCUCCGAUUAGAAGAUGCGACUAUGGGACAGAGGUUCAGGGCCGAAGGGGUAGAGGAAGACCUAGGAAAACUUUGGAAGAGACUCUAAGAAAAGACUUAGAGUACUUGGAUCUAACGAAGGACAUGACACAGGAUCGAGCACAAUGGCGUUCUAAGAUUCAUAUAGCCGAUCCCACUCAGUGACUUGGAUUUUCCAAGUCUCCAACCGAGAAGUUUUCCUCACUCGGGAAAUUAAGGGAACACUACCCCAACCUACAUGCUCCACUCAGAAAGCUUCAACAUACAAGCUUCAACAUACAAGCUUCAACAAAAGAAAAUUCAAAGAACUUAACGAAGAAGGCUUUGGUGUAUUUAACACAAUACGUUGAAAUGAAGGAAAGCUUAUUUAUUGAUAUUCCCGAUAAGCUACAAAUAUGUACAUAUACAUGAGUCAAAAUAAACACACAAGAGGAAGCCUUCACAAAGGUUGCUUAGGAGAAGUCUCAGCAGUCGGUAGAGCCCCAGAAAGAGAAGGCACCGGAGGGGGAUCAUUUGGAGCCUCAGUACUGGACAGAACCCUAGAAGGAGGAGGCAUCAGAGGUUGAUCAUUUGGAGCUUCAUUACGCGGUACAGCCCCAGAAGACGAAGGCAAUAAAUGCCUUUGGAACAAACCCACAAAUCUCUGAUGAUCAAGUAAAACCUGACCAUCAGUUUCCUUCAUCUGGUCAAGCUUCCUCUUCAUGUUUGUAGCAUAGUCAUGUGCGAGCCGGUGCAACUGUUUAUUCUCAUGCUUGAGCCCUCUAAUCUCAUGUUUGAGACUCAUCACUUCAGCCGCCAAUGAUUCAACUUGGCGGGUUCGAGCAAAUAGGCGUUGGGCCAUAUUAGACACAGAACCUGCACACUGAACACUGAGAGCCAGCGAAUCCUUAACAGCUAACUCAUCAGACCGUUUGGAAAGUAGUCUGUUAUCUUUGGGAGUGAGAAGGUUCCUGGCCACCACCGCAGCGGUCAUAUCAUUCUUCAUCACGGAAUCCCCAACGGUAAGAGGACCAGUAGGGGAGACGAAGGAUGGGCCCAUAUGUUGUCUGGAGAAGGCGGGGCUGCCUCUUCAACAAGGUUCAAGUCAAAACGACGGUCGGAGGGGCCAGACAUUUUCAAAGGUGUUGAAGAGAGAAGAGGUCGGACAAAUCAAGAUCUUAGAAGUGCAAGAAUGAAGCUUCUACUGGUGGAGAUUCAAGUGUGGUUUGGAACUUAAUGCCAGCCCCUAUAAAAAUCUGCACUCGACGGAGCUUCAGAAAUCGAAGAGGCGCCUGCUCAGAAAUCGAAGAGGCGUUUGCUUUCUCAAAAGUUGGGCUACUUAGAGAUCACGAGGGUUGAUCUCAGAAAUCGAAGAGGUGUUUGCUUUCUCAAAAGUUGGGCUGCUCAAAGACCACGAAGGCCGAUCUCAGAAAUCGAAGAGGCGCUCGCUUUCUCAAAAGCUGGGCUCCCCAGAGACCACGAGGGCCGAUCUCAGAAAUCGAAGAGGCACCUACUUUUUCCAACCUUGUCAGCACCUGUCACACGCACACUCAGCUUUACGGAAAUUAUGGGCAUUCUGUCAAAGACUUCUGGGGAAGUAGAAAACACAUGAAUCUUACUGUUCAAUCACCCAUUUCCCACACGCAACAAUAGCUCAUGGGUACCACAGAUAACUUUGCCAAAGUUCUCUCUGCCAAAGUUGAGCACGUGAAGCUUGCAGCUCCCACUACAUCGCUCUGACCAAGAAGGGUAAAAGAAUAGCAAAGAAACAGCACUAACAAAGUUUAGACCCAUAAAUUUUGAAGGUCUAGCUACCAUAUUAUUACCCACAAGGGUAAAGGAACAGUACCAUUGCUGGAUAAUUGGAAAGUCCCUGUGUGUCAACCUCUGUGCUUCGUGGCAAGGUAGACUAGCAAACAUGCCCAACCUUUACUCACAUUCGAGAAAACACUCCCAAUAAGAUUGCUUGCUCCAAAAUCAAAGAGGCACCGCUCUCCGAAUCUCGAGAGCCAGACUCCCAACAUGAUUACUUUCUCAAAAAUCGAAGAGACACUGCUCCCCGAAUCUCGAGAGCCAGACCCCCAGCAUGAUUGCUUUCUCAAAAAUCGAUGAGGCAUCGUUCUCCGAAUCAAUCGAAGAGGCGCUCGCUUUCUCAAAAGCUGGGCUGCUCAUAGACCACGAGGGCCGAUCUCAGAAAUGAAAGAGGCACCUACUUUUCUAGCCUUGUCAGCACCUGUCACACACACACUCAGCUUUGCAGAAAUUAUGGGCAUUCUGUCGAAGACUUCUGGUGAAGUAGAAAGCACAUGAAUCUUACUGUUCAAUCACUCACUUCCCACACGCAAUAAUAACUCAUGGGUACCACAGAUAACUUUGCCAAAGUUCUCUGCCAAAGUUGAGCACGUGAAGCUUGCAGCUCCCACUACAUCGCUCUGACCAAGAAAGGUAAAAGAAUAACAAAGAAACAGCACUAACAAAGUUUAGACACAUAAAUUUUGAAGGUCUAGCUACCAUAUUAUUACCCACAAGGCUAAAGGAACAAUACCACUGCUGGAUAAUUGGAAAGUCCCUGUGUGUCAACCUCUGUGCUUCGUGGCAAGGUAGACUAGCAAACAUGCCCAACCUUUACUCACAUUCGAGAAAACACUCCCAACAAGAUUGCUUGCUCCAAAAUCGAAGAGGCACCGUCCUCUGAAUCUAAAGAGCCAGACUCCCAACAUGACUACUUUCUCAAAAUCGAAGAGAGGGUAAAGGAACAGUACCAUUGCUGGAUAAUUGGAAAGUCCCUGUGUGUCAACCUUUGUGCUUCGUGGCAAGGUAGACUAGCAAACAUGCCCAACCUUUACUCACAUUCGAGACAACACUCCCAACAAGAUUGCUUGCUCCAAAAUCGAAGAGGCACCGCCCUCCGAAUCUCGAGAGCCAGACUCCCAACACAUGAUUACUUCCUCAAAAAUCGAAGAGACACUGCUCUCCGAAUCUCGAGAGUCAGACCCCCAGCAUGAUUGCUUUCUCAAAAAAUCGAAGAGGCAUUGUUCUCCGAAUCUCGAGAGCCAUAUACCACAGACCACUUUUUCAAAGUGCUCUGACAGAGUUAAAACAUGUGAAACUGGCAGCUCCCACUACUGUGCUAUGACCAAGCAGGGUAAAGGAAUAGCAUUACUACUUGUUGUUAGGGAGACUCCUAUAUAUGUCGACCUCCAUCCCCAACGGACAGGCAGACUUGCAAAAAUGCUCAACCCUUCAUCAUAUCUGAGAGGGCACUCCCAACGAAGCCUUUCGAAAUAUUCAGCUUUCUUUCCCCCCGAUAAUACCUCUGCAAACAAGUAUACUAGAGCAAGAAUAUCUCAUAUCAUCAGGGUUAAAAGCAAGAGUAUCCCAUAUCAUGCUUUUUCCCUGUCUUUUCUUUUGGCCUUGUUUUUACCUGCAAGACAAGGAGAAAGAGAGCAAUCAGUCAGCACUUGGAAUCAAGCUUCCAGCCAGGAACUGACUGCCUGGAACCCCUUACCUGAUUACUUACCUGGCAUUGCUCUCGAGUACUCAUCUUCAACAUCUUAUGUUUCCAGGGAAGAUUCCGCAUCUGCUUGAGGAACAGAUAGGGCAAGUGCGAAGGAUACAAGGAAGCAUGUGGAGACAAGCGUAACAGCACACGUGCCGAUACAUCCAUUACUCUGUCAAAAGCAAAAGUAUCCCAUAUCAGCAGGGUGGAACGUACUCUAGAUUUGAUGGACUUGUUUUGACCCUCAAAUUCUUCAGUCGGCCUUAUACUCUGGAGGAAACCAAAAAAACCCUCCAGCUCAGUUCAAGAAUAAGCCUGUGGAACGUUACUUCUUCAAAAGCAAAAGUAUCUCAUAUCAUCUCUUCUCAUUUUUCUUCUCUUUAUCCUUCAUGCUGCUGCAAGAUGGGGAGAAGGUGAACAAUCAGUCGGAGCUCUGAUUGCUUACCUUGUCUGUCACCUCUUUCAGCAGACCCCCUAGCUCGGCGACUUGGGGGACUCCUACUACAUGGUUUGUAUCGCGCUUGACCAAGCCUGAAAACUACAAGUAAGCUUCAAGUGAAAUUGAUACAUUUACCUUGUGCAUCUCCACCAGUUAAAGAUACCACCCCUGGAUGGAGGAAGAGUACUUCCAGAGAAGAUGCCACAUCUACCUAUGAGACAGAUAAGGCAAGUCAAGACGACACCACACUCCGAUACUUAGAAGUUUCGUGAUUACGAGAUCAUUCUCCCACAAUAUUUCCUAAUGUCAUUUGUACUAAAAUCAUUCACUUGUACUCACUAAAGGAGAGCUUGAACCUAUGUACUUGUGUAAACCCUUCACAAUUAAUGAGAACUCUUCUAUUCCGUGGACGUAGCCAAUCUGGGUGAACCACGUACAUCUUGUGUUUGUUUUCCUAUCUCUAUCCAUUUAUAUACUUAUCCACACUAAUGACCGGAGCAAUCUAGCGAAGAUCACAAAAAAGCGACCGUUUUUGCUACCUAGGAUCUAUCUUGCAAGAGAACGGAGAAUUAGAUGGAGAUCUCAACCAUAGAAUACGAGUUGGAUGGAAAGAGUGCAUCCGGCGUGUUGUGUGACCGUCGUAGGCCACUGAAGCUCAAGGGAAAAUUUUAUAGGACGGCAAUAAGGCCAGCGAUGUUGUAUGGCACAGAAUGUUGGGUGGUGAAGCAUCAACACGUACACAAAAUGGGUGUAGCGGAGAUGAGGAUGCUUCGUGGGAUGUGUGGGCACAUGAGAAAGGAUAAGAUUGGGAAUGAGGAUAUCCGAGGUAAAGUAGGAGUAGCCGAAAUUGUAGGAAAGAUGAGAGAAAAUCGGCUCCGGUGAUUUGGACAUGUGCAAAGAAGGCCGUCUGACGCUCCGGUUCGAAGAUGUGACUACGGGACAGAGGUUCAGGGCCGAAGGGGUAGAGGAAGACCUAGGAAAACUUUGGAAGAGACUCUAAGAAAAGACUUAGAGUACUUGGAUCUAACGGAGGACAUGACACAAAAUCGAGCGCAAUGGCGUUCUAGGAUUCAUAUAGCCGACCCCACUUAGUGGGAAAAGGCUUUGUUGUUGUUGUUGUUGUUGUUGUCCAGAUUGCUUUUUAUUUAUUUUUUUAUUUUUUAUUUUUUAUUUUUUAAGACGGGAGUAGGAUUAUCCUCAUCUAUUCUUAUCCCUUUCCCUCCUUUCCUUUCAUAUAUUAUUUUUUGUCAUAUUAUUUUUAUAAAAAAAUUAAUAUAAGAUAUUGACGUGAUUAUACCAUAACCGUUCAAAUAGAAGAGAAGAGAAAGAGAUUAAGAGGGAAGAGAAUCCUCCUCUUUCAAAAGGGCACCCACUGAGCACCCAUUGCAUUGUCUAAUCCCAUUAUUAAUGUCAAUGGCUUUUGAUAAAAUUAAUAUUUUUGCAAUUAAGUCCUCCAAGACAAACUUGCAAUCAAGUCCUACAAUUUCAAAGCGGACAAGGAUUGUCUGCCCUCCCUUUUUUCCAUGCCAUUCCAUGCCCUCCUGUUUAUGUGGUCACGGUUAAGUCACGUCAACAUUUUAUAUUACUAUUCAUUUUUAUCUUAUUAUCUUUAUAAAAAAAAUAAUAUAAAAUGUUAACAUGGCUUAACUGUGACCACACAAAACAGGAGGGCAUGGAAGGACAUGGAAAAUAGGAGGGCAGACAAUCCUUGUCCUUUCAAAGCAUACUUCCAUCCAUACCUGGGCAAAAUUAUAAAUUAAAAAUAAUAAAAACUUGAAAGAUAAUAUCACAUAAUCAUACUAAAUUUAAAAUAGUAUAAAAACAACUAAAACUAAUUAAAAUCUACCUUCAUAAGAACUUCAUAGUUCAUAUCUGAAUAAAUCACUUAAGAUCUGAUUGUUAAAUCAUCUUCUGCACUUCUUUCUUUCCAUCAAAAAAGUUAACAACGCAAAAAAACCACAAAUAAACAUCAUAAUUUACUUAAAAGAGCAGCGAAAAUUAAGUUUUUAGUCAGAAUGAAAAAAAAAAAGAAAAAUGAUUAUAGCGAAAACAGAAUAGUUAUGCCUAUCCGUGCAUCCUCCUCAAUGCCAAACCUUUUUGUACUCAACACUUUUCACUGUAGAACAACAAACUAUCGUAUGAAUUAACAAAUAAUUGCAUGCAGAGGAGACCCAAGCGAGAUUUGAAAACAUACAUUCAGAUCUUAGAAGAUAUGAACUCAAAGUGGGAAAAAACUCGGACCUGAUUUGAAAUUGAGGAAAAGGAAAGAGCUCUCACAAGUGGAGAGAGGAGCUCUCACAAACGGGAGAGAAAAACUCUCACCAACUCCUCUGCAAUCCAAAAUAAAACAAAGGGGAGAGAGAACUUUAUCUCUGAAGGAAAAACACAAGAGAAAGAGGAAAUCACGAAGAGAGAUGUGACAGUGAAAACAAAGAGAGAGAAGAAAGUAAAAGAAAGAGAGAGAGGGGGAAAAACAAAGGAGAAAAAGGAAAAUGAAGAGGGAGAGUUAGCUCAUUAGAUUUGGGCACAAUAUAAUAACAAUUAAAAAACUUAAUAAUUAUUAUUUUGACAUUAAAAGAAUCUAAUAAUUAUUAUUUGAGAACUUUAACGAAAAACUCAUGGUACUGUUCACUUUAACGAAAAACCACAUUUUUACACUAAAAAGUCAAUUUUGGUACUAUUCACUUUACUCUUUAUUUUGUCAUUUUCGUUAAAACUCAAAGUUUUCAAGCCAUUGUCAUUAGUUUUCCUUUAUUAUUUUGCAUGUAUAAAGCAAAAUAAUGAAUUUAUAGGUUAUAUAUUUGAAGAAUGACAUUAUCAUCGGUGUUGGAAAGCCUAAAGGACACCAAACAUACACAACGGUGCAAUCGACUCUUAAAAAGACACUGAUGGUGAAUGGUGUUCCCAAAACAGUGUCCUAUGUAUGGCCUGUUUUCUAGUAAUGUUUUUUGAAUAAAAUUUGUGAAUGGAUCACAAUGACAAUGUAAGAAUUCACUAUUGAUAAAAUACAAUACACUCUCUGUUUGUUCAAUAAAAUUCUGUGAAUGAUGACGAUGACAAUUGUGUACACAUAAAUCCAUUUCACCAAAGCUGAGACUUGGCAAGUAGAGAUUAUGAGCCCCGCUCUCAUCUUCCCCUCUUUCCUUCUUUCCCUCUUCUCAUUUGCAUCUUGUCUCUUUUCCCUUGCUCUUCUCUUCCCCUUGUAUUUUCUUCAUAUGUUUUAUCUGUUCCAUUUUCUUCUCUUUCUCAAAUCAAACAAAAUUGGUCAAACUAAGCUGAAUCUGAACCGAACUAGUUAUACCAUUUAAAUUUUAUCUUCCAUUUUUUAGGGUGAAGCAAAUCGAACCAAACCGUUAAUUAGUCAGUGUUUAAGCAUGUAUAUAGGGAAUCCAUUAUCGAACACAUCUGCUGACUUCAUGCUCUUUGUGAGCUCUAAAUUGUUUAGUUAGUAUAUAUGCAUUAAGAUAUAUUUUCGUAGUCACAUUAUUCAAACCACUGAAGUUGUAAUUCGUCUGAUUGGACUUCGUUUAAUGAAAUUUCUCUACCAUAUAUUGACAAAAAAAGAAAAAAGAAAUGCAUGUAUUAUGGCCGAGAGCUAAGUUAUACACACGACAGUGAAACAAAUAAUACUAUGUACCUAGUCCUCUCCAUUGCAGUAGAUCUUUUUUCAUGUACCCGGAACACGAGCUUGUACAUUACGUGUCAUAAGAGUGUUGAAUCCCACAUCGACCAAGUAAAAGAAAAGUAAAUAGUUUAAAUAUCUUAACCACACCCUAACUAACACCGAUGCCAUUUGUGAUAAAACCUCAUACCUGACGAAUUAGGCAGGUGGUAAUUACCAAGUUGGGCAUUGAGGUAUUUUGUGAUAAAACCCCACACCUGACGGAUUGUGCAAGUAGUAAUUACCAAGUUGGGGACAGUAUCAGUGUUGUUGUAAGUGGGUCUUUGGCCUGUCUCGUCUUUCUAAUAAUUCUACAUGGUAUCAGAGUCAGAGAGCGGACCCGUACUAUACUGCCACAUGAUGGAUGGGUCUCAUUGGCCCCACGCGAUGAUGGAUGGGUCCCAUUGUCCCCGCGUGUAAGGUGAGUCCCCUUAGCUUCACGUGGUUGUUGAUGUGUGGAUCUCCCACGUGUGACCCACUAAUUAGGUCCCACGUGAAGGGACAUGUUGAAUCCCAUAUCGACCAAGUAAAAGAAAAGUAAAUAGUUUAAACAUCCUAACCUCACUUUAACUAACACCGAGGCCUUUUGUGAUAAAACCUCAUAUCUGACGGAUUGUGCAUGUGGUAAUUGCCAAGUUGGGAACAAUAUCGGUAUUGUUGAAAGUGGACUCUGAGCUCGUCUCUCUGAUAAUUCUAAAUGAUAUCAAAGCUAGGAAUCGGGCCCCGUAUUGCCCAUGAUGAGUGGGUCCCCUUGGCCCCGCGUGCUAAGGGUGGGUCACUUGGCCCCGCGUGUAGGGUGAGUCCCCUUGGCUGCACGUGGUUGCCAAUGUGUAGACCUCUCACGUGCGACCCACUAAUUGAGUCCCACGUGAGGGGGCAUGUUAAGUCCCACAUCAGCUAUACAAAAAGAGAAAUUAUAGUUUAAAUAUCCUAACCAUACUCCAAUUAAUACCAAUGCCUUUUAUGAUAAAAUCUCACACCUGACGGUUUUGGCAGGUAGUAAUUACCAAGUUGGGGACAAUUAGUGUUAUUGGAAGUAGACAUUCGGGCAAUCUUUUUGAUAAUUAUACAUGGUAUCAAAGUUAGGGAGCGGGUCUGUACGUACUACCACGUGAUGGGUGGGUCCCUUUGGCCCCAUGGAUAAUGGUGGGUCCCUUGGCCCCGCGUGUAGGGUGAGUCCAUUUAGCUCCACAUAGUUGCCGAUGUGUGGAUCUCUCACGUGUGACCAAGGAAGAAAAUAUCAGUAAUAUCGGAAAUAUCGGUAGUCCGAAAACACGGAAAUAUCGAUGGAAAUAUCGGGAUAAUAUCGAUAUCGAUAAAAAUUACAUGGAAAUCACGGAAAUUGUAAGAAAAACUUGGAAAUUUUUAUUGAAACUUUGCAGGAUGUUUAUUUAGUCAAUUAUCUAUUAGUUUAUCACAAAAAAUUGGAAGGAAAUGCAUUGCAUGAUGGAUUUAACAUUAUCAAGUUGAUUAUAUAGCGAGCUGACAAACAUUGUGAGUGUAGAAAAUAUGUAGUAAUUAAUGAAAGAGGUCUAAACACACCAUAAUCAUUUAUAUAUAAUGAAUUAGUACAAUAUUUUACACUUUAUACAUUGCAUUUUUGGUUCUUCUCCGACAGAAUUUGGUCUUCACGUGGAAAAGAAGAUAAAGUAAGCAGAUUUUUUGGUUCUUCUCUGACAGAAUAUUUGGUUCUUCUGUGCAAAGUCACUUCCAAUUCUUUCAUACAAAACCGUGUGCCACACACACACACCCUCAAAGUUUUUUUCUUUUUCUCUCGGAUAACACACACACACACAUAACCAUACACACACACACACACACACACAUAACCAUACACACACAUAACCAUACACACACACACACACACACAUAACCAUACACACACACACACACACACACACACACACACACACAAAAAACCAUGGUUUUAUACAAAACCGUGUGCCACACACACACACACACACACCCUCAAUCCUUCCUUCUCUCUCGAAUCGUCUCGAUCCUUCCUUCUCUCUCUUCUCUCUCUGAGUCUUCUCCAUUCCUGUAAUUGUUCUCAGUCUUCUCCCUUCCCCCUUCUCCAGUUCUUCCACACACACACAGACAUCAUCUCUCGAAUCUCGAUCCAUCUCUCGAUCCUCCUCGUCCGCGUCUCCCUCUGCUCCUCCCAUCUCACCCGCCCUAAACCCAGCCGUCGACACCACUCCAUAACCGCCUUCUAAACCACCUUGUUCCAUGGAGAAGCCGUGUCGUUAGUCCCAAUCGUCGAGUCGUAACUGUCGCGUCAUCGCAAAUCAACGGUUGUGGAGAAACUGAGUGGAGGCAGCGGACACCGGACGAUGGACCGGAAUUCAUCGUAGUCGUCGGUGAGGAGCACGACGUUGUCCCAGCCGUCUUGGAUUCGUGAGGAAAACGACGUUCCCAGGCUCCUACUACCAUAUUCUUCUCGGCUUGUAAUUUAAUUUUUGUACAGAUUUCGAAUUUUCUGCAUGUUGCACCAUUUUUGUACUGAAUUCGAUUUUAGGGAUUUAGGAAUUAGGGAUUCAGUUCAUUUGCUUUGAAUUUGAAUUUGGGGAUUUAGGGAUUCAGUUCAUUUGCUUUGAAAUCGAAUUUGGGGAUUUAGGGAUUCGGUUAAUUUGCUCCGGCGUUCUUCUCCGAUUUGAACAGUACCAAAAUAUCGCGAUAGUUUAAAAAAUAUUGCGAUAUUAUCGAUAUUAUCGAUAAUAUCGCGAUAUUUUGACGAAAACAAUUUGGAUAGUUAAAAAAAUAUCGGACCCCCAAAAAAACGAUAAUAUCGGCGAAAUAUCGCUGAUAUUAUCGAUAUUUUCUUCACUGCGUGUGACCCACUAAUUGGGUCCCACAAUAGGGCAUGUUGAAAUCCCAUAUCGGCUAGAGAACUAAAGAAAGAAGAGUUUAAAUAUCAUAACCCCACUCCAACUAAUACCGAGGUUUUUUGUGAUAAAACCCACACCUGACGGAUUGUGUAGGUGGUAAUUACCAAGUUGGGGAUAGUAUCAGUGUUGUUGAAAGUGGGUAUUUGGCCCGUUUAUCUGAUAAUUCUACAAAGAGGACAUAUAUUUUUUAGUGUCCCUUGGUAAAGAUUGUCGUAGUAUUUAUAAUAAAGUUACUUGUAUUAUGACAUAUGAUGUAUAUAUUUAUAUUCCGUAUACACAAAAAUCUCUCUCAAGUUGGGGAUACUUGUGAAUAGCAUGUAUCACAUGACAAUGUCGGGUCACUAUUAGGAAUGCAGUACACCUCGCAUGUGCUAUUUUGUACAUAUGCGACCAAAUCUGGAAAAUGUCAGCGAAGCAAUUUACCAGGGACCAAUAAACAACGAUGCGAUGCAUUUGGGAACUCGAGGUGUGUGUGUUACGUUACGUACACGGAGGGCUAACUGUAUGACGGGUCCAACAAAUCUUACAAUGCGAUGCAUUUGCGAACUCGAGGUGUGUGUGUUACGUUACGUACACGGAGGGCUAACUGUAUGACGGGUCCAACAAAUCUUACAACAGCAUGAUAUCUCGGGUCCUAAUAAGUGAGAGAUUUUUUUAUAGGGAAUUUUAACGAAAAACUCUUAGUAUUGUUUAUUUUAACGAAAAAUUACAUUUUUACACUAAAAAGUCAAUCCUGAUACCAUUAACUUUACCCUUUAUUUUGUACUUAUCGUUAAAACUCAAAGUUUUCAAGUUUUUUUAUUAAUUUUCCUUUUUUUAUAUGCUUGAAAUAUGGGGCAAACACAACAUUUUUUUAUACAAUUGGAGGGAUACACUAAAAAAAAAAAUCCAAAUUGUUCACACCUUUUUUAUAUUUUUGGUUGUGAGGAAUGCCAUCAAGCCCAAUCAACAAAAUUAAUUAGUUUCGGUAUAGUAUCUGCUUUUGUUUAGGUUGUAAACACUUAUGAGACCAUUUCUAACCAUUGGGCUAAAACCUAACAUUUUUAACCCAGAAAAUUUAGGUUUUAGCCCAUAAACAGUUUUUCUGCCUCAAUCUUUCUGACCUAAAAUUUUAGCCCCAGAUUGUAAGAAUAUUUUAAUAUUCUAAAGUGGUCCAUAUGACACGGUCCAUAUGAUAUGUAGGGUUUAACGGAGAUUAUCAUUUGUAAAUAAUCCUAUUGGUCAAAUUAUGAGAAAUGUUUCCUAUCAAAUUACUGUGAUGGGUGGUAAUUGAUUAUGGACUUUAAAUGGAAACGAGUCCUCUCUCUGCCUCACUUAUAUAUAUAUAUAUAUAUAUAUAUAUAUAUAUAUUGCAUAUACCCAUCUAAUAUGCACUUGAUAGAAAAACACGAUUAGGGUUUUCACGUGCAAAUAGAGGCAAGAGAGAGAACACCUAUUUCCUCCGCCGUUGACAGAAUCCGUUUGGGAUCUCAUAGCGUUCGUUGUCAUGGAUCAAGGUACGCUUGGUUGUUUAAUGUAUUUCCGGAAAUUAUUUGUAUGUGAAAAUCAUGAAGUUCGAUGAUCUUGGCUUAAUUGUUUUAAGAUUUACAUGUGGUAUCAGAGCCUGGUUGAGAGCUCUCAUGAUUUUCCAAUUACGAUUAUGAACUUUAACUGAAUCGACUUGAUUAGGGUUUUGUUUCGAAAUAAAUUAUGAUCCGCUGUGCUAUUUUGAAAUAACCUAAUCGCUGUUUUGAAUUGUGAAUGUUCUUUAUAUAUUGUAAAUUGCACUCGGCAAGAAUAUUUUUAAUUAUGAUGUUGCUGCUUACUGUCAGCAUAAUUUUUUAAAUCUGCAAGAACGGAAUCGGUGGUUAAUUAGGGUGCAAUGUCUGCUGUUUUGAGACAGACAUGAUUGUAUUUUAUUUGCAUGUAUUGAUUAUGCAUGUUGGGAUUAAGAAAUUGUAAUCUUAGUUUUAUUACAAUUUUUGCCGAAUUGCAUAUUUGGGUAUGGAAAUUAUGAUGCAAUUUGGGCGAUUCUUUUAGUUGGAAUUAGUUAAAGUAAUUUGAAUACCUAUGACUGAUCAUUACGAUUAUAAACGUCAUUCAUUUAAUUUGUAAUUCGUCUUACGAAAUUAUUUGCAAGUCACCAAAGUGGCCAAACUAGAAAGAUUACAUGGAUUCAAAUUAAAUGAUGAUUAAUCAAUUACUCAUGGUAGGAUGAUGCAUAUGAACGAACAAAACCUUAUUAUGUUUUAAAGGUUUGUACAUGAGUAAUAUGUUUUUCAUUUGUCAUAAGUUCUUAAGGGUCACCCAAAGGUAGACUAAUUGCUCAUAUGAUUGAUGAUAUGAAUGUGUUGAGAAUUGUAUAUUUCAUUUUUAUUUGUUCGGAUAUCCAAAGAUAAUGAAACCUGUCUUAUUAGAGAUGUACAAUUAUCAAUAAGGUAUUAUGCAUCGAUUAUUGUUUGUAUUGUUGUAGUAUCUACCCAAAGGAGAAUAUGAUAAUACACUUAUUGUUAUUACACGUGUUUUUUUUUAUUACUCAAAGCAGUAAUGUUGUGAGCACUUUUGAAUUGCAGUGUCGGUGCCUGUUUCUCUUCAUUCACUUGCUCCAUCUAUUCCCUCACUUAAUGGAACAAAUUUCUCAGAUUGGAGUGAGCAAGUUCAGUUUCACCUUGGUGUCCUGGAUCUUGAUUUAGCACUCCGAACUGACAAACCUGCUGCUCUUACGAAUACAAGCAGCACUGAGGAAAAAUCUCUCUAUAAUGCCUGGGAGAGAUCGAAUAGAUUGAGCAUGAUGUUUAUGCGAAUGACUAUAAUGAGCAACAUAAAGACUGGCCUUCCUCAAGCUGAAACUGCUAAGGAAUACUUGAAAAAUAUUGAGACUCGUUUCAAGACUGCUGACAAGUCUCUUGCUGGGACAUUAAUGGCUGAGCUUACCACCAAGAAAUUUGAUAGUAUGCGAAGCAUGCAUGAGCAUGUCCUUGAAAUGACUAAUAUAGCAGCAAAGCUAAAGACUCUUGGAAUGAAUGUGGAUGACUCAUUUCUUGUUCAAUUUAUUUUGAACUCCUUGCCUCCUCAGUAUGGGCCAUUUCAAAUCAACUAUAAUGCUAUUAAGGACAAAUGGAAUGUUGAUGAAUUGGCCACAAAACUCGUUCAAGAGGAGGGAAGGCUUAAGCAGCAAGGAGAACAUUCCGUUCAUUUAGUAAGUCAAGGAGCUGAAAGAAAAUUUGGAAGAAAGCCUGGAAAGGGCAAGAAAAGAGGAUCACCCAAGGUGAAUGGACCUGCUAAUGCUACUCAGGCUCAUGAUAAGGAACAUAAAAGUGAUUUUAUGUCGCUUCUGUAGGAAGCCUGGGAAUUAUCAAAAGAAUUGCCAGAAAUUCAAGGAAUGGUUCGAAAAGAAAGGUGAGCCUUUGGCUUAUGUAAGUUUCGAAUCAUAUUUAACUGAAGUUCCUUAUAAUACUUGGUGGGUUGACUCUGGUGCUACAGCUCAUAUUUCUAAUUCGAUGCAGGGAUUCCUUACGACCCACACUUUAAAUCCAAAUGAAAAUUUCAUUUUCAUGGGGAAUCGAGUCAAAGCUCCAGUUGAAGCUGUUGGAACUUUUCGUUUAAUUUUGGAUACUGGAUAUUGUUUGGAUUUAUUUCAGACACUUUAUGUUCCUAGUUGUUCCAGAAAUUUGGUUUCAGUCUCGAAGCUUGACCGUAAUGGAUUUUUUAUAAAGUUUGGUAAUGAAUGUUUCAGUUUAUAUAAGAAUACCUCUUUUGUUGGUUCUGGUAUUCUAAUAGGUGAGCUGCAUAAUUUAAAACUCAAUAAUCGUUUUGCUGAAACACUUUUGACCUUGCAUCAUAAUGUUGGAACUAAGCGUAGCCUAAACAAUGAAAAUUCUUCAUUCUUGUGGCAUAAACGACUGGGUCAUAUAUCCAGAGAAAGGUUAGAAAGAUUAGUAAAGAAUGAGAUUCUUCCAAACCUAGAUUUUACUGAUCUCGGUGUGUGCGUGGAUUGUAUUAAGGGCAAACAAACCAAACACACCAAGAAAGGAGCUACAAGAAGUUCAGAGCUUCUUGAAAUAAUUCAUACAGACAUAUGUGGACCUUUUGAUGCUCCAUCUUUUAGCGGAGAAAAAUAUUUUAUCACCUUUAUAGACAAUUUUUCACGUUACGGCUAUAUUUAUCUGUUGAAAGAAAAGUCUGAAUCAGUGAAUUCCUUUCAGGUGUUCAUUAUUGAAGUUGAAAGACAAUUAGAUAAAAAGGUUAAGAUUGUCAGGUCGGAUAGAGGUGGUGAAUUUUAUGGAAAAUAUGAUGAAUCAGGACAAUGUCCUGGUCCUUUUGCAAAACUCCUUGAAAAGCAUGGCAUAUGUGCCUAAUACACUAUGCCAGGUACGCCACAGCAGAAUGGUGUUGCUGAAAUGCGUAAUCGUACUCUUAUGGACAUGGUUAGGAGUAUGUUAAGUAAUGCAUAUUUGCCUAUAUCAUUAUGGAUGUAUGCUCUUAGGACUGCUGUAUACUUAUUAAACCGGGUUCCUAGUAAGGCAGUUCCGAAAACACCAUUUGAAUUGUGGACAGGAAGGAAACCUAGUUUAAGGCACUUGCAUGUUUGGGGAUGCCCAGCAGAAAUAAGAAUUUAUAAUCCGCAUGAAAAUAAGUUGGAUUUUAGAACGAUUAGUGGUAACUUUAUUGGUUACCCAGAAAAAUCCAAAGGAUAUAGGUUUUACUGUCCUAAUCAUAGUACGAGAAUUGUUGAAACUGGCAAUGCCAGAUUCAUUGAAAGUGGUGAAAUUAGUGGGAGCGAAAAACCUAAAGAAUUGGUCAUUAAUGAAGUUAGGGUGCAGAUUCCUACACCUAUAAUUUCUAAGCAAGUUGUUGUUCCUAUACAUGUUGAACCGUUAGACAAUGUUGAACAACAAAUUAAUGACCAUCCGCUCCAGAAUGAGAUUAUCACAAAUGAAAAUGUAGUGGAAGAACCACAAGAAAUAACAUUAAGGAGAUCUUAAAGAGAACGGAAAAGUGCUAUUUCAGAUGGUUAUGUGGUAUAUUUACAAGAGUCUGAUGUUGAUAUAGGAAUAAAUAAAGAUCCGGUUUCGUUUUCACAGUCGUUAACUGUAUUGAUUCUAGUAAAUGGAUUGAUGCCAUGAAUGAUGAGUUAAAAUCAAUGGACAAAAAUGAAGUCUGGGAUCUCGUUGAAUUGCCUAAAGGUUGUAAGAGAGUUGGGUGUAAGUGGGGUUUUAAGACCAAACGCGACUCUAAUGGCAAUAUAGAAUGAUAUAAAGCCAGAUUGGUGGCCAAAGGUUUUACUUAGAAAGAAGGCGUUGAUUACAAAGAGACUUUCUCACCAGUUUCAAAGAAAGACUCUUUUAGAAUCAUUAUGGCAUUAGUAGCUCAUUAUGAUUUAGAGUUACAUCAAAUGGAUGUGAAAACGGCAUUCUUGAAUGGGAGUUUGGAAGAAGAAGUCUACAUGGAUCAACCUGAAGGCUUCGCAUUAAAGGGAAAGGAACACAUGGUCUGUAAACUAAAGAAGUCAAUAUACGAACUUAAACAAGCUUCACGACAAUGGUAUCUUAAGUUUGAUAAUAUCAUUGUAUCCUUCGGUUUUAAAGCAAACAUCGCUGAUCGAUGUACAUAUCUGAAGGUCAGUGGGAGCAAGUUUAUCUUUCUAAUUAUGUAUGUUGAUGACAUUUUGCUUGCUAGUAGUGAUCUUGGUCUAUUACAUGAGACCAAACAGUUUCUCUCGGAGAAUUUUAAAUGAAAGAUAUGGGUGAGGUGGCCUAUGUGAUAGGAAUUGAAAUAUUCCGAGAUAGAUCACAUGGAGUGUUAGGCUUGUCUUAAAAAGCAUAUAUUGAGAGAGUUCUAGAGAGAUUCGGUAUGGAAAAAUGUUCAUCCAGUGUUGCUUCAAUUCAGAAAGGGGAUAAGUUUAGCCUUAUGUAAUGCCCACAAAAUGAAUUGGAGCGUGCACAAAUGGAAAGUAUUCCUUAUGCAUCUAUUGUAGGAAGUCUGAUGUAUGCACAAACUUGUACCAGACCAGACAUCAGUUUUGCAGUUGGGAUGUUAGGCAGAUACCAAAGUAACCCAGGAAUGGAUCACUGGAAAGCUGCAAAGAAAGUGAUGCGGUAUUUGCAAGGAACGAAAGACUAUAUGCUCACGUAUAGAAAAUCUAAUAACCUAGAAGUUAUUGGUUAUUCAGAUUCAGAUUUUGCUAGAUGCAUUGAUAGCAGAAGAUCAACUCUUGGUUACUUGUUUCUCUUAGCUGGAGGAGCAAUUUCCUGGAAGAGUACAAAGCAAGAUGCUAUUGCUAUAUCCACCAUGGAAGCUGAAUUUAUAGCAUGCUUUGAGGCUACAAAUCAUGGAUUAUGGUUACAGAAUUUUAUCUCAAGGCUUGGCGUUAUUGAUUUCAUUGCUAAGCCGUUGAGAAUUUUCUGUGACAAUGCUGCCGCUGUCUUCUUCUCCAAGAAUGACAAGUAUUCUAAUGGUGCUAAACACAUGGAUAUAAAAUACUUGACUCUUAAGGAGGAGGUUCAGAAACAAAUAGUGUCUAUUGAGCACAUAAGCACAAUGCUUAUGAUCGCAGAUCCCUUGACAAAGAGACUGGGGCCGAAGGCAUUUAAUGAUCAUGUUGAAAGAAUGGGUCUUGGUUGUAGUCCAUGAUGAUUGUCAUUUUUUUUUUAAUUUUGUGAAGGGAAAAUUAUGAGUUUUCACAUAUAGGGAUUUCAAAAAGACUAUCAUGCAUAUACAAAUCAAAUUUAAUAUACGAAAGCAGCGGAAGCAUUUAUAACAAAUUAUCAAAGCUAUAGUCAUGCAAAUCCCCUUCAAUGUUCAUAGGUUUAUAUAUAAUGCAUCAGAGCAAUUUUAGAGAAGAACAAAGUGAAGGUUUAGUCUAAUACCUCUUGAUCUAGACUUGAGACCAUGGAUGGACCACCUCCAAGCCCUUUGUUCCUUGAACUCCUUGAGCCUAGCUUUCCUCCUUGCCUCCUCCACUUUGUUAGAAUGAGUGCUCCUAGGUUCUCUUCAAGUUUCCAAAGUAGGAAACCUCUAAAGAUCCUCACCCACUAGUGUAGUGAGAAGGAUGAAGGAAUAACCAAAAGGGUGAAAGAUGUGUUAGUAAAAACACCCCUAAGGUGGCCGCCCUUUGUAGUGUUAGAGAGCUAUUUUUCUUUUGCCUCUUUGUUGUUUUAACACUUCAAAAACCCUAAUGAACAAUAUCUCUAUAAAGUUCCUUAUAUAGACAAAAGGAAACCUAGUCAACCACUUGACUAAAUAUCUCUCCAUUUCCACUUAAAGUGGCCGGCCUCUUGUGUUGGAUUUGGGCUUUUGGGCUUUUAUAUAUUUCAAGUCAUCCAAUGCUUGAAUAAAAGUCCAAUGGGCCCAAUUAAACCCGAACGUUUCUUUAAGCCCAAAACGAUCUUUAUCGCUUUUAUGAUUUCUUUAGACUUUCUAAAUUAAUCACAACACUUAAUUAAUCCAAUUAAUUAUUUCCAUCAUCCAUUAGUUACUCACUACAAUAGUGUAUUGGUGAACAAUCUUGUAGGUUCUAAUUAGCAAGGCAGUGAGGUGAUUGGCACCAAUCCAAUUGAUUAUAUUUAAUCCAAUCACUUAGUGAAUUAAAACAUACUUUUAAUUCACCUUCUUCUUUGACGACUACAUUUAAUCAUUUAGAAGAACUCACAAGCCAUGAGUGACAUCUAACCAUAUAUCAUGGCUACCCAAGCUAAUGUAGAAGUUUGUUCGGAGAACCUAUUCAGUUGGAAUUACAAUGUAAUUCGAUCCUUCUCUAAAACAAUACUCUCAAUCACAUUACUUGGGUAUGGAAAUAUUAUGUCAAACCCCUAAUGUGAUUAUUCCUUCUUAUAUGAUUCUUUUGAGUCGUAUAGGAACGCUUUCCUUUAUUACGCUCGAUACUUCGGCCAAAGAUUCCCGAAUCAUAUCUUAGAGUAUUCUUCCUCUCUUAUCGAGGAUUAGAGAUUCCUUGUUGCGCAUACACUUGCCUUCAUGACUAAGUGGCUUAACCCCAAUUAUGCCGUGGACACCCGUGAAUGGGGAGACUUUGACAUAAUCAAAGAUUAAGUACUUAACCACAAGACAACGACGAUGCCUCAAGUCAAAGGACUACUUACAUUAUUCCAACCAUUAGAGUUACUUGCUUGACAUGUGAGUAGACCUCCAUGCAAGUACUCUCGUUCGAUUGUGUUCAGUGAACUCAUUCCCUUAAUGAGCACCUACAUACUUGUCUUAGUGUCACAACACGAAUGGGAUGAGACUUUCCAUCCUUCCAUUUGAAGCAGACACAAUAUGUACCGGUCUAAGCAUUGUCAGUAUCCCUCCGACAAUCCAAUGACCAGGAACAUUUUUGGACAUUUGGUUAUAUGAAGAAGGUCUCUGUAGUCUAACAUCAUUAGAUUACUUCUUCAAUUGAUCCAUUGUCCAUGGAUACACUAUUUAGGACAUAUAUCGUUUAUUGAGAUAGUCCUAAUUAGUAUCUUUGCCAUUUGAUGUAUAAGAUUCAUCUAUACAUCGAUUUAUUUGUCCUGAAAGGUUUCUUCCAAAGAUUGACUUUCAAGGCAUAUUUCCAACAUUUUGUUUAUGAGAAUUUGUUUAAUGACAGUAUUGUGCUUGACACUCUGAGCUCGAUAAUUGAACAUGUUUCUGGUAUUUCCUGUUUUCCAUUAUAUGUAUACAUUUAUGAGAUCGGAUGAAUGAUAACAGGAAUGUCUCUGACAAAGACAUUAUCGGACCUAUAUAUGUAUUUCUCACUAACAGACUGUUUUAGGUAAUUGCUAGUGUUGUGGUGCAUGGAAGGGACUACGUCGCUCGUUGAUGUACAACCGCCAUGACUCACACUAGUGAAUUGCUUAAGAUCAAUAAUUAUGUUAACCAAUUGAUAGUAAGGAUUAUUUUGAACUUUACUGCGCGCUUAAUGUUUAUUUUUUAAACCUGAAAAGGAACAUGUGUCACUAUGGACCAAGUGGGAGAAUGUAAGAAUAUUUUAAUAUUCUAAAGUAGUCCAUAUGACACGGUCCAUAUGAUAUGUAGGGUUUAAUGGAUAUUAUCAUUUGUAAAUAAUCAUAUUGGUCAAAUUAUGAGAAAUGUUUCCUAUCAAAUUAUUGUGAUGGGUGGUAAUUGAUUAUGGGCUUUAAAUGGAAACGGGUCCUCUCUUUGCUUCACUUAUAUACAUUGCAUAUACCCAUCUAAUAUGCACUUGAUAGAAAAACACAAUUAGGGUUUUCACGUGCAAAUAGAGGCAAGAGAGAGAACACAUAUUUCCUCCGCCGUUGACAGAAUCCGUUUGGGAUCUCAUAGCGUUCAUUGUCAUGGAUCAAGGUACGCUUGGUUGUUUAAUGUAUUUCCGGAAAUUAUUUGUAUGUGAAAAUCAUGAAGUUCGAUAAUCUUGGCUUAAUUGUUUUAAGAUUUACACAGAUUAUUAAAGAAUAAAUUUAGGCUAAUUUUUUUUUCUUAAAGUAACUUUUUUUAAAGAAAAAAAAUUAUGUAGACUAUCAUGAUUUAAUUUUAUGAACGUUUUAACCUAAAAAUAUUUAUAUUCUGACAAAUAUUGAAAAAUCACAAACCGACACCAUGAAACUAGUUCAUCACUAUGAAAAAAACAUGAAAUACAUAAAAGAUUUUUUUUUAAUUACUUUAGCCGUUAUAUUUAAAUUUGGACCGUUAAAAUUUUUUUUUACCGUUGAAUUUCAUCAAAUUAGAUCUUAACAGUUAGAUUCAAUGAAUUUAUAAAUAUAAAACUAAAUAAAAUACACAUAUAUAGUGGGUCAGCCCUACUAAUCCUGGGCUAAAUCAGACUUUUUUUUUAGGUUUUAGCUUUUAGCCCACACAUUUAGCAUGGGUUGGGUUGGGUUGGGUUUGAAAGAAAUAAAACUUAAAAAAUAGCAUUUAGCCCAGGAUUAGGUUUAAUCUAAGUGCUGGAUUAAUGUCCCAGCGUCCUAUCCGGAUUGACCCAUUUCAAUAUAUUAAAAACGUGAGAAAGUGGUUGACAAGUGUACAAAUAAUAUAUGCGUUUGGUAUGUGAAUUUUGUGUGGUUUAUGUGUAUCAGCGUAUUUGGUUGAAUACGAUUUAUGUAAUACUAAUAAUAUUGUGAGUUUUUAAUUGACCUAAACCAGAACUUCUUAUUAAUACUAUAACUUUAGUCCAUAAAAUAUCAACCACAUCCUUCACUAAAAAAAUCUGACAACGUGAAAAACAUAUUUGAAUGUGUUUAUUCAUAAAUCUUAUCACGGUCUAUCACAAAUAGGGUCGAUAUUAUUUCAAUUUAACCAUUUAUUAUUAGAUGUUGGAUUUUAUCACAAAAGUCUUCAAUGAUAUUUGCUGUAAAAAUUCUCUUAUUAAUACAUUAUUUUGUCAUACCUCCGAUGCGCAACUCAAUUCUCUAACAUUUAUCGGUUUAAGUAAAUCUCCAAACAACUUUCACAACUAGAUGGAAUGCAUAACAAUAAAAUAGAGGCCAUUUUCUAAGGGAUUAGGACUCUCUCCCCUUUCCCCUCCUAUUUGAACAACCACAAUUAAGUUAGGUCAACAUCUUGUGUUGCUUUCUUUAUAAAGAGAGAAAUACAAUGAAAAUGUAAGAGAAGAGGAGGAAAAUGGAUGAAAAUUGGAGGGGGAGAGAUUCCAAGAUAGUUAGCUCAUCUGUUUUCACUCACAAAACUUAAAGGUGAUGUUUUCUUGCCUAGUUGUAUCUCUUUGUUUGUAGGCUUUUGUUUUCUGUGAUCCAGAUAAAUUAAUUUCUCUUUUGACACAGUCACACUAGGGGAUUUCCAUUUACAAUAUUGAUCAUGUUGUUGACACACUCUCAAAUAGAUGUGAAAUGUGAGACAUCCUGUCUAAACUAUAGCUUGACACCAAUUUUGAGUGUUUAAAUGACGUUUCUUUUUCUUCUUUUGUGUAAUUAUAAAUUCCAAUAUCUGAUUUUUGUCUAAUUUACCGUAAAUAUUUGGUAGAUCUCUUGUCUCUUUUCCCUUGCUCUUCUCUUCCCCUUUUCUUUUUCUUUUUUUCAUAUGUUUUAUCUGUUCCCUUCUUAUCUCUUCACCAAAUAGGACAAAAUUGAUCAAAGUAAGCUGAAUUUGAACCGAACUAGUUAACUUUUUAUUUUAAUUUUCAAUUUUUUGGGAUGGAAGUAAAUCAAACCAAAGCGUUCUCACCCAUACUUAGUCAGUGCUAAGCAUGUUUAUCAGGAAUUGAACACAUCUGCUGACUUCAUGCUCCUUGUGAGCUCUAAGUUGUUUAUUUAGUAUUUUACAACUGAUAAAUUUUCGUAGUCACAUUUUUCAAACCAUCGAAAGUUUGUGUUAGUAUGCUUGGAAAUUUAAUAAUAAUAUUAUUAUAUUAAAUUUAUUAAUUGAAUGGAAAUUAGAAGUGGAGACCUUUGGUAGAAAAAUGUGUCUAUUCAAAUGAAGAAUUGCAACUUUUGACUCUUCAUGAAUAGUCAUGUUUUCCAAAGAAGUAUCUCAAAAUCUAUAAAUAGGAAAGUCUCUAUAAACAUAAAUAAUUUUCAUUGUUUACAUAAUCAUAUAUAGAGUGCACUAAAUAUUAAAGAGACUCAUUUAGUCCAUAUGACAUGCCCCGAUCCCGAUAUCCCCAAAUACCAGGAUAUGCACGUGCUGACCGAUACCCCGAUGGUGAUGAAGCCAUUUUUAACAUGCAUGCAAGUUAUAAAGAAGAAACAAACAUAAGUAAAUAAGUGAAUUUAAAUAUAUGAAAAUGUGUGGAUGCGGGAACGUGUUCAGAGCAUAUAUCUAAUCAAGAAUAGUGAGAAAGGAAUUUAAGAAAUAAAUGUGAUUACAAAGAAAGUGGGUCCUACCUCGAGGGGACUCGAAGAUACCAAUGCGGGAGUGCCUUGACGUCGUGAUCGUACGCCUCAAUCCUAAGUCCUGAAAAGGGCUCAAAACAAAACAUGAGUGGACUAAAGUUGUUAAUAAUAAUAAUAAUAAAUUUAUUUCUUUUUGAACAUACUAACCCCCUGUUCUGAAAACACCAUAUAAAUACUACAUAGUAGGGUUUUCUGAAACUCUAAUAUGCCAUAAAACCAUCGUAGACCAUGUAUGUAUAAAACAAUGUUGAAUAAUGGUUAUAUAGUCACCCGAAGGCAAAUCUGUAAAAGCUCGUAAAUCAUAUAACUAUGUACUCAAUUAGGGGUAUCAUAGUCUGUAAUACCUUGAAAAAUUUAAGUAUAUGAAUUUGAUAUUCAUAAUUAUGAAUAUGUGGGGAAAAAUAGAAAUUAAAUCUAUUUAUGGUUAUGGAAAUUUAAUUGGGAGAUUUUAAAAUUUUGUUACCAGAAAUUAUUAUAAUUUAUGUUGUAAAAAUUUAUCGAUAAGGGAAAAAGAUGAAAAUGCACUAGUUGGUUUAACGUAAUUAUACGAGGACGUAUUUUAUCCUCGUAUAUAUUUUAUUGUAUUUCUUGAUAUAUUUGGAUAGAGCUCGACCCUACGAAAACGUAAGCAAAAAUCGUUUGUGAAUUGAAGUUGAAACGAAGAUAUUAGAGGUUUUUUUUUUUUUUUUUUUUUAAAAAAAAAAAAAAAAAGGAGUCUGGAAGUUGCUAGAGGGCAAAUGAGGGGGAAAACCCGGUUCCCCUUGACUUGCCCGACUCGACUGAGUACCACAACCAAAUUUGAUCCUUUAUCUGGGCAAUUUCUGGUGAAUUGCGUUGAUUCACUACCUGAAAAUUUAUCCUCGGCCUCUCAUCUCCCCGUUACACCAUAAAUCCUAGUUAAUUAGAUCUUGAUUUGGAAAAAAAUAGCACCAUGGGUGUGUCGAGUGCUCGGCUCGGAAUCACCAAAAUCUGAAGCUAACUCUCUCCACCACCACCACCAAUCAACUCCGCACAACCUCAGGAACAAAGCCCAAGUAAUGGUGGAGGCAUUGGAGCGAAUAUGGAGGUGGAAUCGAAGCACACCCAAUUCUAGGGUUCAGGCGGUUCAUGGGCGAUUUCUCGGCCCAGGUAUAAAAAUUACUCCCCUAAUUGAGAUCUACAUGCCUGUAAAAUUUGGUAAUUUUUGGAAAUAGUUGAAUUUUCCGACGAGUCAGGACGGCCGGCCUCCGUGUGCGGCAACGCGUGGGCCAAGACCCUACCUGCUCUUCCUAGAUUAAUUUGGAUACCCUGAUUCCAUAUGUGGCGUUCGAUUUAUGAAAUCUCGUCGUAUGACUAUGAUUUUGAUAAAAACCGCCACUUAAAUUUGCAAUUAGCGGAGAUCCAACCGUUGGAACGUAAUGAAAUUUUAGUAUGUUGUUCUAGAUGUAUAAUGUGGAUGUUGAUAAGUUACGGAUUAUAAAUCUGAUAGGCAGAUCAUCCGGUUUAAAUUUCUAGGGUUGUGAACCCUAUACUUGAUCUUGAUCGACGGGUGACUUUUUAUAGUCAACUAAACCGAGUUUCUAGCGUGCUAUUUAUCUUAGAGUGUUGUUGACAUUUCAUGAAGUUUAGUGGGCUCAUUGCGACGACGGGUGGCUUGAUUUACCUACAAGUGACUAUAAUAUAGGUGAUUUAUAUUGAAUUGUUAUUUUAUUUUAUUGCCAUUGAUCUACAUUUGUGAAUUGUGAAAUACGAUUGACUUGAUCUCUCUAAAGGGUACGUAGGCAGUCUAACGAGAAGUUAGAUGCAUCCAUAAAAUAAAUGAGAUCGAAUUUUAGUGGAAAAUCAUCAAAUUGCGAAGUGUUAGAAUGGUUAUUAACAUAAAGGGUAACUAUGACAUUUUUGGCUUACCACUAAAUGUAAAUUCUGAAAUAUAUUGGCGGGGCAUUACAUAGUCUCCGAAGGCCCAACCAUCACCCCGAGGGUGAAGCUGUACAACACGAGGUUACACCGCUGAAGAAACAUGAUAGGUCCCAUUACCCGAAGGUGAAACUGUACGACUCUGGGUUACGCCAUAGAAGAAAUAUACAUAACACGGACACUAGCUGUGGCUAGUGAAGCUGUCCGACACUAGUUUCGCCAAUGAAGCUAGGCGUAUGUCAUAAAUAUCUCACUACUCAUCAAACUGUGUCCUAUGGUCAUAAACAGAUACAUACUCGUGUUGUGUUUAUGAGUUGUAUGAUUACCCACUAAUAAGUACAAAAAACAUAAAUAAAACUUUUCAUAUCAAAUCCUCGGAGCUCAAAAGCUCAAACAUCAUAUCAUAAAUCCAUAGGAGCGUUCUAGCUGAAAUCAUCAUCAUAAACCAUAAUAAAUCAAUCAUGUGAAAUCAUAAAUUCAUAUAAAUCCGUAAUAUUUCAUAAGGCGUAAAUCCAAUAAUUCGUAACGUUUCGUAAAACGUAAAUUCGAUAAAUUAUAAAUAUAUUUCAUGAAACAUAAAAUCAGGAAAUCAUGCUUUUCAUGAAUGCAAUACGAGCAUUUAAUAAAAAUUAUGCAUUUUGAGAAGAGGGUCACUCACAGAUACUUGUGAGGUCGCAGCCGUUUGAACUAGGAAAGUCGGAGUCUCCAAUAGUAAUCGCACCUAAGCAUAAUAUUGGGACCCAUUCGUAAAACUCAACUAAAACUUUUAAAUUUGGGAAAACAGAGUGCAAAUUUGGAUCAGGGCGUUGAAAUAUCCUAAGAGGAGUCCCGGGCAAAUUUCGUAAAAAGUCAACGGGAAAGUCAAUGGUCAACUACAUUAAAACUUUAGAAUUUCACUAAAUAGAUGUCAAAAACAGCUUGGGGCAUCGAAAUAAGCUUAGGAGAGUUUCCGAAAAAGUUUAGUAAAAGUGGACGCAAAGAAUAUUUCAAAGAAUAUUCUAAGAAUAUUCCAAAGAAUAUUUCAAGAAUAUUUCAAAUGAUUUAUUAUUAUUAUUUUAAACUUUGGUCAUGUCACGUUUUGUUUUGCAUCCCCUUCAGGUAGAAUCGAGGCAUACGAUCCCAAUGUCAAGGUACUCCCACAUCGGUAUCUUCAAGUCCUCGGUGUAGGAUUCACUUUCUUUGUAAUCACAUUUAUUUCAUAAUAUUCCUUUUGCACUAUUCUUGAUUAGAUGUAUGUUUUGAACACAUUCCCGGAUCCACACAUUUUCAUUAUAUUUAAAUUUAGGGACACUUUGGAUGCAGUCCCUAACUACCAAUAUUCUUUGAUCGAAGUCCCUGAUAUUAAUGUAAUAAUAUAUUUCUAUGUAGGUUACUAUAUUCUUAAAUUAAAGUUAUUUAUAUUAAUGAGAUUUUAAAUAAAACCCAUAAUUUAUAGGGAGUUUUAACGAAAAGACCACGGUUCUGUUCACUUUAACGAAAAAUCACAUUUUUACACUAAAAAGUCAAUCAUUGUACUAUUCACUUUACUCUUUAUUUUGUCCUUGUCGUUAAAACUCAAAGUUUUCGAACCCUUUUUAUUAAUUUUCCUUAAUUUAUGGAAGUAAAAAUAUUAAAGAUGAAUUAUACUCUCCAAUAUAUUGCGCAUGUGUGUAUAUACACACACAGGGGCACGUUCUUCAAAGCUAACUAAACAAUUAUUGUACCAAAAUAUGGGUACAUUUUUCAAAACACAAAAAAAAAAGGCUUAAUAACAUUAUCAAAUUUCUUUUAUUAAGCUUGACAUGGAUACAUUCUCAAAUCAACGAAAUAGAAUGUGCUCAUAUAGUUAAAAAAAAGGUACAUUUUUCAUAUGACAAAUUAGUAUAGUUAAGAAUUGAAUUUUUUUUUUAUAAAAAGUUAAUGGUUACAAACUUAUUCUAAUUUUAUUUUUUUAUAUUUUGGAAAUGUUUGAAUUGAAAAUUAAUUAGGAGUUUAAUAAGGGUGUGAGUAUUAAAACUCUAAAUCAAUUACUAAUUUUUAUUAUAAAAAUUAUGUAACUUACAUAAAAUUCAUUAAUAUAUUAAUACUAGGGACUUUGAUCAAAAUCUAAAAACUAAUAAGGUCUUAGUUAAUAAACAUUAGAAACCAGGGACCAUAUACUAAUUUUUUUACUUAUUUUAUUUAUGUUCAUUUCUUCUUUAUAACUUGCAUGCAUGUUAAACAUAGCUUCGUCAUCCUUGGGUGCUGGCCAGCACGUGCCUAUCCUAGUAUUUGGGGAUAUCGAGAUCAGGGCGUGUCGCCAUAUGAGAGGGUUUCAACAGAAUUGUGGUUCAUGGAGCCUUGUGAUUUGACUACUAGAAUUAUGGCUAUAGGAUACCGAUGUUUACACACCAUUUGCAAUUGGUGUCCAUAGACAUAAAGCAAGCACUCUUAGUUUUUUUUGGUGUCUUUAUAGUUGGAUGCCACUGAUAUCGGUGGCCUUCAAAAUUUAGACACCAACCAUUGGUGUCUGUUAAAUAACUUUUAUUCUUAAAAAUACUUUUUUUGUGCAUUUGUGAUUAACUGGGCACCAAUACAAUUUAUUGAACACCAAUACAACAAAUAAAAAUUGAGAGCUAUUCUCUCCCCUGUGAGAGUCUUUCUCACUGUUGUGUGAGUGGUCUUUUGCUCUCUUUGAUUUGCGUCGGCGCCGGCCUUAGCUUUGGUUAGGGUCGGUGCCAGUCCUUUGUUUUUCAUGUGUGCUUUGUUUCUGUGGUUUGUUGGGUUUUAGCUUUUUUUGUUGCCUGUAUGUUUUCCUCCCCUUCUCUGCCACUUUCACGAUAUGCUUCUAUCCUUUCUCCUUUUACUUUUGAUCUCACCUUUUUGAGACCAAACCUCAAAUCCCCCGUUUCCUACAUCCUCUUUGACCAUUUCCCCCUCUUUGACCCACCCCCUCCAUCUACUGCAUCAUCUUGGCCUACCAUCUAUCCCCCAUCUUUCACCCUUACCUCUGUCCUCAAUUCCGGUUGGUUACCGUCUCAGUUUACCGCGAUCUAUCGCGGAUCUUUGGGAGGAUGUGUAGAGCUUUAGAUCGGGUGUUCGCAGCACCACCACCCUUGUUGAUUGUUGUUGGUCUUUCCCGUAGUUCACCCUUGCCGACGUUAUUGCUCGUGGGUUCUCCCUGCGUGCUUCCUUGUUCUCCUGACGACGGUUCUUGCUGGUACUUUGAGAAAGUUGUGGCUUUUGUCUUAAUCAUUUCUAUGGUUUUUGGUGGUGUGAUCUUAAGUGAUCGUGAUUGGAGGCUAACCAUGACGUUUGUUGGGAGGCUCUCCGGUGUUGGUUUCGGCGUCUCCAGCUUUUAGAAGACUAGUUUUUUAGGUUUUUCUAUGUUGUUUGUUUGUGUGUGUUGUACUCUAAGGUUGGGCUUGGGGCUUUGCCUUUUGUUUGUGUGUGGCCCCUUUUUGUUUGUGUAUAACUUGUUUUGGGCCUUUGUUGUACUUGUGUUUGUUGAUAAUAAAUUUUACCCUUUGUCCAAAAAAUAAAAAAAAACCAAAUAAAACAAAUAAAAAAACCAUUAAACCUCUCUCCCCUUCACAAAAGUCCAACUCCUCCCCUUCAUUCCCUCUGAUUGCUUCCCCAUUCAUUCUAAGCUCCUCCCUCCCGUAUCCUCUCUCUCCCUCUUCUCUUUCAUGCAGCAGCGGCUCCGUCCUCCGGUCACCAACCAACGUCAAACUAUACCUCCAGAAUUCUCUUCCCUUCCUCUUUCCAACCCUCAAGUUAGUUUCUCCAAAUUUGUAGCUGAAUUUUCUUAAUUUCAGAUCUAAAAAACGGUGACCGUGGGUAUUCCGGCCAAUUUCCGGCGAAGUCUGCCUGAAUUGGACCUCAACCAAGAGGUAAAAAUGAUCCUCUCCUCAUGGCUGUUCCCUAGUGUAAGUGAUUUCUCAAAAUAAAAACUUUCAAUUUUUGGAUCGAUUCUAGAUUUCAAAUUUUAAUUCCAUUUUCUAUAUGCAUGUCGAAGAUUGGGGACGAGGAAGGUGAAUCAAGGUUGUUUCCAACCUGGGCCGAGAAGAAUGGAAGCCUUGGAACAUUGUGGGCGAAACUAAGGUGAAGAGGGUUCUUCUAAAAAAAUUAAGGUGAACAAGGUGAUUUUCUCCUUAACCACAACUAUUACAUUUUAUCUCUUGCUUGGAAUUUUUUUUAAAAUUCCCAGGAUCUGCUUUGGCAAUACUUUUGAUGGUAAAAAAGAAGCAGCUGCUUUUAUAAAGCUUUUGUAGUCUCAAGCACGGUAAAUAUAAUAGCACUAGAAAGUGAGGAAAUCCACUUUCUUUGGUCAGGUUGGAUUCUCUACUAUGACUACCAUUUUUAUCUCUAAACAAAUUUUUAAUGGUAUGUAUGAUAUAAAAAGGUAAAUUUAACUAUUUUGGUUUCUUUGUUCUCACGCUUUGGUGCCUCGAGUUUUAAUUUUUCAUAGUUGUGUCUGAGUUUUUUUCCAGUUACAAUUCGGGAGUCAUUGGCAACUUCUACGGGACCAAAAUUGUUUUUAGGUCAAAAUACAGGAACCAAAUCAUAACUAGACUAGGAGAUUACAUUACAUUACCAAAGUAGGAAAGUUCAGUCUUGAUUCAGAGUUUGGCAACAUAAUAUGUAUGUAGGAUGUUGUUUUAGAACCGCUUGGUAAGUGUUAAAUACAUCUUAUAACAUGACUAACUAACAAGCAUGGUCGUUCAGAUAUACAUGCAAUUGAGAUCACUGAUUAAAUCAGAUUUCUUUUAUAUUGAAGCAAAUCUUGCCUAUUAGGUGUUUGUAAAAAUUCCCCAAAGAGUUAGAAGUAGGAUAUGAUGCAAAUCUGAAUGUAGGCUGUUUUGGUAUGUGUGUGUACGUAUAGGGUGUUAGAAUAAAAGUUAGUAUUGUUUUACACUGCCAGGUGUCACAAUUGUAUUGGAGAUUCUAGAAGUUAGUUAUGUGUGAUUGUAUUUAUAAGGAUGUAUGAUGUAAUAAUUGAGAUAUAAUGAAAUAAUAGUUUCUCUCUCUACACUCUCUCUCUCUCUCUUCAAAGCUCUCUAGUUCUUCUCUGCCUUUCACCAUAGCUUUCUCUUAGUGUUAUCAUGGUAUCUUAGCCAGCCAUGGUUUACACCAUUGCUUAACGAUUCCUAUGCUUCCGCUCAUCUUCAUCAUUCCGGUGACCGAUAUUGGUGGCUGUUUGCUGGUUAUUAGUGAUUCCGGUCAAGUGUCGAUUACUCAAAAAAAAAAAAAACCCUAAGUCGGUGGAAUUUCUUUUUGUCGAUUGUUUGAUUCUGUCAUCGGAGAUUGUUGCUCUGUUCGUCGAUCUUUGCAAUUGCUACUGCUUCGCAAUUUGUUUAGCCGUGGUGGUACAAUUGAGGUGUUUUCUCUCAAUUCUUGCUACUUAGUAUUGUUUAUUGAUAGUUCUGUGUCAAUCAAAUUGUUGAUUUUUGGGCAAUUCUUGCUGCGUGAUUCGUUGUGCUUCUGUUUAUUUCUUGAGUAAAGGAGUUGUGUUCUUGAAAGUUAAUUUCAUUGUUGAAUUGUUGAUCUCUGUUGGUGCAUUAUGGUUACCACUUCACAAUUAGCCCUUACACAAUCUCCAAUUUCUUCACUUAUACCUAGUGUUGGAAACACAGUUACUGUGAAAUUGGAUUAUUCAAAUUAUGUUACUUGGAAUUUUCAGAUAUCAUUGUUACUAGAAGGGAAUGAAAUUAUGGGGUUUAUUGAUGGAUCCAUUCCAUGUCCUUAGAAAUAAACUGAAUUGGAAUCUGAUGAUGAGUCGGUUGUUAAUACUUCUCCACUGACUGAUGCUUAUAAAGUUUGGAAAAUCCAUGAUAAAGCUCUUAUGACCUUGAUCACUGCAACACUCUCUACUGCUGCAUUAUCUUGUGUUAUUGAAUGUCAAAGUGAAGGAUUAUUUUGUGAAAACAUGUUCAUUUAAGCAACAUCUAUAAGCAUGCAAUUAACAAUUAAAGGCGGAAUCAUGCUUGCAUGCACUUAAAAACAAAACAUUAACCAAGAAAUUCAAAGCCUAGUAGAUUGGUUAACCAAAACUCAACUCAAAACAAAGUGAGUUGAAAUUGUACCUUUGUAGAUUCCUCUUUGCAUAAGCAAAGGCUAAUCACCCAAAGAGAGGGCCUUCAUUCCUUGCAUCUAAAAUCUAUGGAUUUGGAUGGAUGAAAAGGUUUCUCCAAGUUCCCAAAAUUGAGAACCUCUAAGUCUCCACACCAAGGAGAGAUUGGAGAAGAAAAUGAGUGACAUUGGAGUAGUAGUAUGGCUAGAUACACCCUCCAAGGGGCCGGCCUCUUUAGAGAGAAAUGGAGAGACAUGUUCUCUCCAAUUUUCUCCAAAACAAACCCUUAAUGAAUUUUGGCUAUAAAGUCAUAUUUAUACCUUAAUUCAUUGGAGUGGCAAACUUGUAAAUAAGUCCAAAACCCACUCCAAAAGCAUCAUGGCCGGCCUUGGGGUUUCAUUGGGCCUUUUAGGCCUUUGUGAAUCAUUAUUCAUUAAGUUGUCAUACAACUUAAGUCAAUGGGCUUGACGUUCGAAGCCCAUUGGGCCUUAAGGUCCAAAACUAUCCCGAGGUCCUUAACGAACUUAUUCGUUUGAUUAAUUAACAUAUUAAUUAAUCAUUGCCAUAAAUAAUUAAACCAUUUAAUUAUUCUUACUCAUCUCCAUUGUUUCUUCAAUCUCCACCUUACACGGUGUACGAUCCAUUAGGUUCCUUUUAGCGAGGUAGUGGGCGAUUAAAACCAUUUUACAUCGAUUGUGAAUUGAAACUUACUUUCAAUUCUCCCUUUAGUGAUUACACACGUUUAGGGCUUCCACAAACCAUGAGUGACACCUAGCAGCAUAUCAUGGUUACCCAAGCUAAUCAGAAGAGGUGGAGAACCUAUUCAGUUUAGGAUUACAAAUGCAAUACAAUCUUUCUCUAAUACAAUACUCUUGACCACAUUGUUUGGUUUGAUAGUUUAUUUAUUCAUGUCUACUAUCCAAUGUGAUUCGUGUGCUUAUAUGAUUACCUUAAAUGUGAUUUGGAACGCUUUCCUAAAUCUCAUUCAUACUCUGGCCAGAGGUUCUAAUCAUAUCAUAGAGUAUUCUCCCUCAAACGGUUUGAAGGUUAGAGAUCCCUUGUUGCGCAUUCACUUGUCUCCAUGACUAAGUGGCUUAACCCCAAUGAUGUCGUGGACACCCCGAUGGGGUGACUUUGACAUAAUCAAAGAUCAAGGACUUAACCACAAGACAACUGUGAUGCCUCAGGUCAAAUGACUACUUUGCAUUAUCCCAACCAUGAGUUCUCAUGUGACAUGAAUAUGAGAACUCUUCGUUGAUCCUGUUCAGUGAACUCAUUCUCUAUUGAGCACCUACGUACUUGACUUGAUGUCACACACACCAAUGACUCGAGACUAGUCACUCUCCUUGAGAGAAGACACAGUACGUACUGAUCUUAACGGACUGUCAAUGCCCAAUUGGCAAUCCUAUGAUCCGGAACAUUUAGGAUGUGUCUACGAAAGAAUGGUCUCAUGAAUCUAACUUUUUUAGAUCGUAUUCUCCCAAUCACAUAUUCCUUGGACUUAUCGUUUAAGCAUAUAACAUUUAUAUGAGACGGCUCAAACAAUAAUCUUUGCCCUUGAUAUUAAACUAGAUUAGUUUAACAUGUGAAAUGUCCAUAAAGUAUCAUCAUAUGAUUGGUUUUAGGGCACAUUUCCAACACAAAGCUCUAGUGAUAUGUGGAAUAGUUUGAAAGAAAGAUUUGCUCAUAUGACUCGCACUAGCAUUGUUCAAAUGAAGAUUGAUCUGCAGAACAUUAAGAAAGGGCCAGAAUCCAUUGAUGCUUAUUUGCAGAGAAUUAAAGAGUGUAGGGAUCAAUUAGCUACUGCUGGUGUUGUGAUUUCUGAUGAGGAUAUUGUCAUUGUGGCUUUACGAGGAUUACCUACAUAAUACAAUACCAUUAAGUCUGUGAUUCGGGACAGAGAGAGUUUGGUUACAUUGAAAGAGCAUAAGUCUCAGCUCAAGGCCGAAUAGUCUACUUUGGAAGAAGUUCUUAAACCACCACCUUUAAUGGCAGCUAUGUUUGCCAAUACUUAUGGUCCAACUUAUGAAAUUGGUGGCUCUUCCAACUCUAACUCACAUAUUGGCAGCUUUGAUCUUGGAUCUCAUGGUUCCUCAUUUUCACCAAUGGCUUAAUUUCAACAAUUACCAUUUCCUUCUUCCCAAGGUCCUGUUGCUUUUGUUUCUCAAACUGGUUCUGGAACUUAUAACAAUUUUAGGGGGAAUAACUAUAGAUCCAAGGAUAAAGGGAAGAGGUUCCAUGCUGGUUAUCAACAACCUUCUGGAUAUCUAAAUUUUGCACAACCUCCACUCCAAUCUCAGUCACAGUUUCAAAAUCCUGGAAAUCAAAUGGUUUCAGGUGAAUCUUUUCAACCAUUACUUGUUUUCCAAAUAUGUGAUAAGAAGGGACAUGUUGCUUUAAACUGCUUUCAGAAUGGCUGCCAAAUCUAUCACAGAAAGGGACACACAGCUGCCACUUGUUUUGACAAGAAUAAUCUUGCAUCUAUGACUGUGCCUAUGUCUCAGACUUUCUUCCCAUCUCUUAUGAUGUUUCAGCAACAUUCAUAUCCUUUUACUCCUUCACAGUUGCAGCUACAUCUUCAGUCUCCAAAUUCUUUUCCUUCUCAAGUGCAGCCUUCCACUAUGAUGUCUUAAUCUCAGUUUUCUAAUGGGGUGAUAUAUUCUCAACAAAAUUCACCUGUUGCUUUUAUUGCCAGAACCAAUUUCUCUCCAACAGCCCCACAACAAGAGUAUUGGUUGCUGGACUCUGGAGCAACUAAUCAUAUAACAUCCGAUCUCUCUAAUAUGCAAGUUACUACUCCAUAUGCUUCCUCAGAGACUGUGACUGGUGCUAAUGGUGAAGGUUUACAAAUUUCACACAUUGGUCAAGCUAGUAUAUCUACUCCUUCUCAUACACUUGAGUUAAAAUUUGUGUUACAUGUUCCACAACUAUCACAACACUUACUGUCUAUGUAUCAAUUAUGCAAAGACAACAAUUAUAGGUGUAUUGUUGAUGAGUUUUCUGUGUGUAUACAAGACAAGGUCACCAACAGGAUUCUAUAUCAAGGACUGAGAAACUAAGCUGUCUACCCACUUCCUAUUCUCAAAUCACCAAAGACAAAUCCUGCAACAUUUCUUGGACAGAAAAUAAAUGCUUCUCUUUGGCAUUGCAGAUUGGGUCAUCCCACCAAUUCUGUAACUCAAGUAGCUCUUAGUAAGUCAGCCAUUAAUUUCCCUUGUAAUUCACCACCUCAAACUUGUACUGCUUGUUUACAAGGCAAGUUCACCAAGUUGUCUUUUCCUAUAAUGGCUUCAAAGUCCCUUGUUCCUUUUGAAGUCAUUCACACAGAUGUAUGGGGUCCCUCUCCUACUAAGUCUAUAGAAGGGUAUAGCUACUAUGUGUCAUUUAUUGAUGAAUGUACACGAUAUACAUGGAUUUUCCCCAUGAAUAAUAAAGCUGAUGUCUUUGAGAUAUUUGUCCGAUUUCAUGCUUAUGUUCACAACUACUUUUCUGCAAAUAUUAAAGUUUUGCAAAGUGAUGGUGGAGGUGAAUAUGUUAGUACUCUUUUUCAAAACUUUAUCACAACCAAAGGCAUUGUUCAUAAAAAAUCUUGUCCAUACACCCCUGAACAUAAUGGUUUAGCUGAAAGAAAGAAUAGGCAUCUUGUUGAAACUGUUGUUACAUUACUUCAAAAAGCCUUCUUUUCAUCUAAGUUCUGGUUUCAUGCAUGUGCCACAGCUGUCUAUCUUAUUAAUAGACUGCCUACUUCUAUCUUACAUAUGCAAUCGCCAUUCGAAAUGUUGUAUAAAUCUCCACCUCCAGUUGAUCAUUUAAAGGUUUUUGGCUGUGCUUGUUACCCUUCCUUAAAACCUUAUAGACAUCAUAAACUUGAUCCUAAGACUACUCAGUGUAUUUUCUUGGGAUAUGUUGCUCAAUAUAAGGGGUAUGUAUGCUAUGCUAUAAGGGAUAACAAGUUAAUUGUUUCCAGGCAUGUUUUGUUUGAUGAAACUGUUUUUCCUAGUGAACAUGGGAUGUCUUCUUCAUUUUCUAGUCAUGCUAUAUCUUCUAAGUCACUUCCAGCUACCAUAACUCAUCCUACUACAUUUCAUCAUCCUCCCAUUAUUCCCAUACCAUUUCCACACAUUUCAUCUUCUCCGAUACCUGUUACUCAGUCCUGUUCCCAAUCAAAUGGUGAUCUUGGUCCUACUUGAGGUGUUUCUACUUCAGAGUCUCCAUCUUUCUUGAUGCUAUCUGAAAAUCAUCCUGAUGUAACUAGUUCUUAGGCUCCAGAUUUGCAACAAGUAUCUAUGAUCAGUCUUAAUACUCAUCCAAUGCAAACCAGGUCCAAGUCUGGAAUUUUUUAAAAGAAGGCUUUUUCUGCUUCUAUUCAAGCAGAUUCAUCUCUGGACAAGGAACCUCAAUCUUUUUGAGUUGCUGCUAAAUCCUCUCAGUGGCAACAAGCAAUGACAGAAGAGAUUGAGGCAAUUUUCAAACAGAAAACGUGGACACUAGUUCCUCUCCUACUUCAUAAGAACUUGGUGGGUUGUAAAUGGAUAUAUAAAGUGAAAAGACAUCCUGAUGGAUCGGUUGCCAGGUAUAAGGCUUGUUUAGUGGCCAAGGGAUUUUCUCAAGAAGCUGGUCUCGAUUACUAUGAGACUUUUAGCCCUGUGGUUAAGCCUACAACAAUUCGGUUGAUGUUGUCAUUGGCUGCAACAAAGGGCUGGAAACUUAAGCAGCUAGAUGUGAAAAACGCUUUUUUGCAUGGCUUUCUAGAUGAGGAAGUAUACAUGUCUCAACCACAAGGGUUUGUUGACAAGGAUCAUCCAGAUUUUGUAUGCAAAUUAGAAAGGUCUUUGUAUGGCCUCAAACAAGCUCCCCAAGCUUGGAAUGAAAGAUUUUCUAGAUUCCUUCUCAGUUUAGGGUUCAAAGCUUCAUAUCCCGAUCCUUCUUUAUAUGUCAAGAGUGAUGGUCAUUCUCUUGUUGUGUUGCUAUUAUAUGUUGAUGACAUUAUACUCAGUGGAGAUGAUGAUUCUCUUGUUCAGUAUGUGAUUAAUCAAUUAACCAGUGAAUUCGAUAUGAAGGACUUACGGGUCUUACACUAUUUUCUUGGGUUACAGAUUGAGUAUCAACCUUAGGGAUUGCUAGUUUAUCAGUCUAAGUAUAUCAAGGACUUGCUGCAUAAGGCACAUAUGUUUGAUAGUAAGCCUUGUACCACUCACUGUCAUCCUUACCAAAAGCUCUUAAAUCAUGGUAGUCCUCCAUUUCAUGAUCCAGGUCUUUACAGAAGUAUAGUUGGAGCCUUACAGUACUUGACUUUCACUCGACCUGAUAUAGCCUACUCAGUCAAUUAGGUAUACCAGUUUAUGCAUUCUCCUUUUGAAAGUCAUUUUGUUGAUGUGAAAUGAAUCUUGAGGUAUCUCAAAGGAUCUAUGACUCUCGGUUUGUGCUUUAGACCUGGUAAUCUGGAUAUACGAGCUUACACAGAUGCUGAUUGGGCUGGGGAUCCUAAUGACAGAAGGUUAACCACUGGUUUUGUUGUAUUUUUAGGUGAUAAUCCGAUUUCUUGGAGUUCUAAGAAACAUCAUACUGUUGAGGAUGUGUGGAUUCAACAGUUACUCAAUGACCUAUUUCUCUCUUCUGCAACAACUCCAUUGCUCCACUGUGAUAAUAUAUCAGCUAUAGCCUUAGCAACUAAUCUCAUUUUACAUUCUAAGGCUAAACACAUAGAGAUUAACUGUCAUUUUGUGUGGGAAAGAGUGCAGCAAGGCACAAUUCUGUUGCAGUUUGUUAAUUCCUCAUAACAGUUUGCUGAUAUUCUUACCAAGGGUCUAUGUUUUCCAUUGUUUAAUUCUCAUUGCACCAAUCUUAUGCUUGGGAAUGCCCAGCAUAAAAUUGAGGGGGAAUGUUAGAAUAAAAGUUAGUAUUGUUUUACACUGCCAAGUGUCACAAUUGUAUUGGAGAUUCUAGAAGUUAGUUAUGUGUGAUUGUAUUUAUAAGGAUGUAUGAUGUAAUAAUUGAGAUAUAAUGAAAUAAUAGUUUCUCUCUACACUCUCUCUCUCUCUCUUCAAAAGCUCUCUAGUUCUUCUCUUCUUUUCACCAUAGCUUUCUCUUAGUGUUAUCAUGGGGGUGUUAUAUUGAUACGACAUGCUGCCUAAUUUUUCUAUUUUUGGAUUGCUAGAUCAAAGAAGGAAGUUCAAUUUAUCAAGGAUAAAGGUUUGGACUACUAGACAGCAUGCCGCCUUCGGUUUGAGGUAUGGAAGUUUCGUGCUUACAAUCUGGCCGCUUACGUGUUUAAAUUUCUGGUUUAUCAAUAUGCUCAAGAUUUGGUUAGCAGGUAGUUAUGCUAACAAAUCAAAAUUCCUUUAAGAAUCUGGUUGGUAAUCUUGGUAACCUCUAUAUUUGUGUAAAAAUCAAGAGCCAUCUGCAUAGUCCUAUGCUAAUGAGCUGCAAGUAAAACUUCAGUAAUAAUGUGUUUUUGUAUUUCUUUCUAGCGAUCAACUCUUUACGCUCGAAAUUUGGCGAUUAGGACUUGCCUUUGAUUUUAUUCGGUGCAGCAGAGUUUUUCUUCGAUUUGUUCAUCUUCUUCCUGAUUUUUGUUCCAUUUUUUUUAUAUUGUUUUGGGAUAUGUGAAUGUAAUUUUUUGGGUAUUUCUUUGCUUCAAUUCUCUCUAAUUUUUUGUUGUUUAGUUUGACUGGUAUUUCCCUAUUUGUUACCCAAACAACAGUCCUCUUAGAUACUACUUGCUUGGAGUACCAUAUACCUAUAUAGUAGUUUGAAACCUGACCUAGUUUGAAGAAACCUAGCUCAAACAUCCCACCUGCAGAGAUAAUGGUUUGAUCGCCAGAGAGAGAUUUGCAUGACAUGAUUAAGCUCUUUGGAAACAGAGUGUUCAAACACUUUUCAAAGUUUGAGUCCCAACAUUUGUUCAAAAUUGUAUAAAAGAUCAGUUAUGGAAAUUUGUGUUAUAUUCUUAUAUCAAAGAUAUUACAAUUUGUUUCCUCACCCAAAAAAGAGAGGAAAUAUUCCUAUUCAAAUCUGGGUGCCCCCGGAGGCAUCUUUUUUUUUUUAAUAUUAUUUUGCAACUUUGCCACCAAUGUGAAUUAGGGUGGCAUUGUUUGCAGAUGACACCAAUGCAAUAUUGGUAGCCAUUGUUACAAUAGAGUCCUCUACAUAGGCCAUGUUCUCUAGUUUAGUGGCUGCUUUGUGGCCAUUUAGGUUUGCCACCAAUGAAAGUGUCCACACUUGACAAUAGACACCAAUGAAAAGGGUGGCUUUUAGCCAAAAUUCUAGUAGUGUUUGGAGUGCUACUAUUAUAAGGACGUGGUCGUUGUAUCUUGGGAGACAAGAGCCGAUCAACCAUGAGCAUCGUAGUGGGGCGUAAACGUGUCUUAAUGAUAGAGUGUCUAACACUUGCCUCAACAAUAUUUCCACAUUUUUCAAAUCCAUUAUGUCAUGUUCAUUUAACAUUGAUUACUCAUGCGCAUGCAUUAAUUUUGAUAUAUAAUUGCAUGAAUUAUUUCUUAAUUUUCUAUGUGAUUUAAUAUAGCAAUAGACCAUAUUUUUCAAGUUCGUCUACCCAAGGAGAUUGCCGGUAUAUUACGUACAUAUCAUAACUGAAGAAGGCAUCUACUUUUCAGUGUGUAGAAAAAUAUUCUUGUAUGAUUUAUUUCAUUCCCAAUUACACAAUAUAUAAGAUACAUCGGUAUAAUGGUUGAUUACAAUUGAAUGGAUUACACAACAAGAUAUGAAAUAGCCAACUUUCCAUUAUUGACACCAUCUUAUUGAUGAUAGAGAGAUUUGUUGUGAUGAUGGAGAUGAGAGAAUCCCGAUGUUGACCUUAAAAACUAUUUAGCCUACAUGACGCACAUGCCGAAUAGUUAAUAAGCUAACUACAUCCAUCGGUUGAUUACAGGGCUUGCCAAAUCGUCGGUCGAGCUUGGGCGGGGAGUGAAUGAGUUGAUGUGGCGUUGUGCGCGCUGAUGACUUCUGAAUCUUGUGACUGCGGCUGAAGAAGGAACACGUCUCAACCUUCGAGUUGUACAGCCUGAAGACAAGGCUGUUAGUUCUGCGAAUUUCACGAAUCGUGGGCACUGGGUUCAGCAAUGGCGAAUCGAUACCGAAUUGUAGAGGCACAAGUAUUUUGAGAUAUGUGUCUUGAUUGUAAAUAUGAUUCAACUGUUUGAGUGUCGAACUCUGAAAUGCACUUGUGAGUAUCCUAUCAUAUACUAAGUUCGGCCUUCAGUGUGCCAAACGUCGUAACUUGGUAACACUUUACUUCAUUGAGAAGGCUAAUAAGAUGACCUUUUCCAACAAGGACUCAACAAAUCCUUGUUGAUCGAGACUUGGAUAGAUAACCAGUCGGUCGCGAAGAAAUGUUGUUUAUCCAAACUGAAGGUGCUCUUCAAUAGGCUGAUUCUACAGCUCCAGUGUUGUUUAUCCAAACUAAAGAUGUUGCCAGUUGCCAACAUAAUGUUGUUUAUCCAAACUCAAGGUAUAUUGGUGUUAAAAAGGUAAAAUAAAAAUCUCAAGAUGUGUGAGAGGUUUUGCAUAGAGCGAGAGUUUACGCAAGGCAGUUUUGUGUGUUGGUCUAGAGGGGAUCUUAACUUCCUGUUGCUUCUUUAUUUAUAAAACAUAUUUUCACCUUGGCACGACCUGACAAUUUUGUAGAGUUCAAUAGAUUUAGAUCCCAUCUGGAUCCAAAUUGUAGGGAUCCUAUAGAUCCAAAUUGUUGGGAUCCUAAGGAUCUCCACGUCCUAGCCGUUCAUCGUAUAUCGUGCAGUCAGAAAUCUUUUUGAAUGAUGUAAGUAUCUCUAAAUCCCUAAAAAAAAAGAUCUGAAAAGAAUCCUCAUCUGAGUUCAACUGCAACUCAAACCAGUAGAAUUGAUCUAUGCCAUAGGCUAAAGCCUAUCCCCCAAUCAAAAACUUAUCACGUCACCAGAAAAAAAAACAAGUUUAUCUCCAUCAAAUCACUUCACUGAUCCAAGCCAUGCAUAUUUCCGUUGAUGAGACCGCGGAGAAAUUAUAGAGUAGUACUGUAGUACCACGUGGCAAGGCCAAAUGGUAGUACUCAUUAAUCAGAUUAAGAAACAUUUAAUUAUGAGAUAAUAAAAAUAUCAGUGUUCUAAAAAUCGGCCUAGGUAGCGCCUAGGCGCUGAGCGGUGGAGCUUUGACUCGAUUUAGACCAAAACGUUCAGUUAGGCGGGGAGGACUUAGGCGGCCGCCUAAGCUCUUGCUAGGAGCCUGAGGCGGGCUAAGCGACGCUAGGCGACAAUUUAGACGGUUUGAAUCCUGCUGCAAUUUUCGCAAAGGAUCUACAACUUUCGAUCUCGUACGUAGCAGCAGAGCCCCGGCGAAUUUCUACAGCUCGUCUCUGUGAAGAUGAGGGAAGAGAGAGUGCUAUCAGCAAAUUUUUGCAGCUCGUUUGUGAAGAUGAGGGAAUAUAAAGUGCGAUGAAAGAGAGAGAGACUUAAACAUUUCAAUGUGGUGGCACAAGUUGAGGAUUGGGAUCUCAAAUCCAAGGUUAAAAGCUGAUGGUUUUAUUUAUGAAAACCACCCAAGGUGGACGGUUGAUGGUUUUAAUAAUGAAAACCACGCACUAUGUGGGCUUUUUAUAUUUUUAAAAGUUUGGGAUAUAUUAUAAAGGUCGUACCCAGUGCACAAGGCUCCCGCUUUACGCAGGGUCUGGGAGAGGUGAAUGUCGGCUAGCCUUACCCCCAUUUAUGGAGAGGCUGCUCCCAAGUCUCGAACCCGAGACCUACCGCUCAUGGGCGAAGGCACUUGCCAUCGCACCAAGUGCGACCUCUUGGGAUAUAUUAUAUAUAUUACAAAUUAUUUAGAUAAUAUUUUGUUUUUUUUUCCUAGGCAAGCAUAGUAUAUACUAGAGAGACUCCCCAGUUCCCCCAACUUUUCCAGCUUCCUUCCGCUCCUAGAUGAGCAACGCAUGUACAUCCAAACUCCUUCCCUUCCUAGAUGACCAGCACGCAUACAUCCAACCUCCUUUCCUUCUUAGAUGACCAACACACUGCAUAAUGGGUAAACCAGUAAAUUCACUGUGCAAAAUGGAAAAUACGGGCUAAUAUCAAAGGAAUUGGAAGGCAUUUUCGUCCAUUCACUGUUAAUGAACAGUGUUUUUGUGUUGGGUUUUAGUAUAUGUAUAAUGUACAUAAAACCUUCACAUAUGUAUGUUCUUCUAUAAGAAAUAACAUAUUAGUCAAUAAUUAGUUACUUUUGAUAUAGUAAAUUUAAUUAAUUUAUAAAAUAUAUAACAAAUUUACCUAAAUCCGUCUAGGCCGCUAGGCCGCCUGUCUAGACCCCACCCAACCACUAAGUGCCAACCCGCCGUCAGACUAGCGCUUAACGUUUUUUAGAAUCUUGAAAAAUAUUUAUAAUUGUUUAAUUAUUUCAUUAACUAUCAAUAAAUCUGAAACCUCUCCGGCUUCUUCUCUCUCCUCUCUGUUCAUCGAGAAAUCUUUAACUUCAUCUCUUUCUUCUUCGUCUAUCUCCUCAUUGCCUCCUUUCUGUCGCAGAACUUCGUCCUCCGUGCGCUCUGCCGGUGAAUGACUACUGAUCAAAAUUUAAAUGAGACUUUUGAACCAAGGAGGUCCCUGUUCGAAAUGAGUUCGGCUUUCGUCACUGUUAAAAUUUAAAUGGGAAUGAGAGAGAUGAGUUCGAUGUCCUUCCUUCUGUUGUUUAGAUUUAUGUCAGAAGUCAGAAUUAUUCAUUUUGUUUCGAUCGUUUGUCUGUAAAACGUUCACCAAAAUAUUGCAUAUUUUGAAUGACCGGCCGACGAAAUUAGAUCCUCUCCGGACCAAUUUCAUAUGGACCCUCUGGACCAUUUAAUCCCGACUGUUCACCAUAGAAACGGCGGUGAGGACUAAAACUUUUUUUUUAUUUUAACUCUUCGCUCACCACGAAACAAUGAAAACAAGAAAUUAAAAGAUGAAAAUUGAAACACUUUUCAGAUUCUUUGCAGCUGAAAAUCAGUGAAAGGAUGAAAAAUUGUAUUUUUGGAUUUGUAGCAAUCUUGAAGGUUUGGAAAAUUGAAAUAGUUUUCAGAUUUUUUUUGCAGUUGAAAAAUAGUGGAAGGAUUGAAAGUUGUAGAUUUGCAGCAACCUUGAAGGUCUGGAGCUUUUCUUCAAUGAACGUCCAGAGCUUUGCUUCAAUGAAUUGUCUUGUGGGAGGAGAGAGAAGACAACAGACGAAGUUGAGGCGGUGAAGAGUUAAAUGCAUUAUUAAUAAAUUAUUAACUGAUUAUUCAAUUUAUCUUUCCACGUGUCUUAAUAUGAUUAGUAAGUACUAUCAUUUGGCCUUGCCACGUGGUACUACAGUACCACUUUAUAAUUUCUCAAAGACCGCGUGCAUGCACUAUGAUUCCUUCGUCAAAUUAAACUCUGACAUUUCAUUCGAAUUGAUGUAAUGUAAUCACCAUAUCUCAAGAUAAAGUUACGUGCUACAACCACCACAAUCACUCAAACAUGUUCAUGAAUUCCAAGCCAAUUUGAAUACUACCACUACUUCCAGAAUUGAGAUAUGACUUUGGGCUUUGAUAAUAAGCCACGUAGGAGAUUGCAUGCACUGGGGCUUGAUGUGAUAGUGUAUUCGAAUGUCUUCACGCAAUCUUUGAAAAUUGCACACGUGCCCACUUUUUAUUCCCAUGCAUAUUUAUGGAUCUCUCUUGCAUGUAUAUUAACCGUUUAUGGAUCUCUCUUGCAUAUAUAUGCAUAUGUACACGUUGUCGACUCCAGACUUCCUUCAUAUAUCCAUAGUCAUAGAUUCAAUUUGCUGAAAAAUUCUAGAUAGUUGGCUCAUCUGUCUACACCCACGAAACUAGAAGGUGAUAUUUUCUUGCUUAAUUGUAUCGCUUUGUUUGUAGGCUUUUGUUUUCUGUGAUCCAGAUGCUUUAUUAUACUAACGUUUCCUUGGCUCUUCGCCUCUGUUGAGGGAUCUUGUUUUUCUUGUUUAAGUUAUGCAUAUGUAAGCUAGACUAGUUAGACGAUAAUUUGAAAUCUCUCUACUCGUAAAUUGGAUUGGUUACAAAAAAAAAAUUGUCUUGUCGUAAAAGCUAAUUAAUAAAAACCGAUAUUGAUUUGGCUUUUUGGAUGGUUUUUUUAAGGAAAUAAUUUAAUCAAUGGAUGGGAUGGACUUAACACCCGAGUCAGCUCAAAAGUUGUUUGAAGGAGACGGAGGAGCAUAUUACAUUUGGUCGAGUUCAGAUGCUCCGGUGCUUGCUGAGGCCAAGGUUGGUGCAGGCAAGCUUGUUCUUCAACCUCAUGGCUUUGCACUUCCUCACUAUGCAGAUUCCUCCAAACUGGGAUAUGUUCUUCAAGGUAAGUAAUAACUAAUUAACUACAGCAUGCAAAUACAUAUAUAAAUAAAUGCAUUUAUAAAUAUCAUGUUCACGUAUGAGAGAUUUUUUUUUUAUUACGUCUGGAACACGAGAGAAUAUUAAUGUCACUGGAAAGUUUUUUUUAUUCAAGUGUCCAUCCAAUUGUAAAAUAACAUGUAGUGUUCUGUCUCGUUUUUCUAGUACACUAAAAAAUCUCUUCACCUACAUGUUUGCCUAUUUUAAUUAAUUUGUUUUUGUAAUUAAGAAAGAUGGAAAACAAAACUUUGUUAUUUGUUCAUCAAUGCCCUUAUUGUAUAACUAGCUAUAUGAUGGAAAACAAAAGUUUGUUAUUUGUUCAUCAAUGCCCUUAUUAUAUAACUAGCUAUAUGAUGGAAAACAAAAGUCAUACUUAACUUGCUAGACUAUAAUGCUUAUAUUAUUGUUGAAGAUCUUAAUUAGCUCUAAUGGUGAUGCAGGUGAUGAUGGAUUAGUAGGAAUGGUAUUCCCUAACACAUCAGAGGAGGUGGUGGUUAAGGUUAAGAAAGGAGAUGUGAUACCAGUACCAGUUGGAGCAGUCUCAUGGUGGUUCAACAAUGGAGAUCGCUCUGAGGAGCUUGUUGUUGUUUUCUUGGGUGAAACUGCCGGAGCUCACAUUCCCGGCCAAUUUACGUAUUUUUUGAUUGCCGGAACCCUAAGUCUACUUGCAGGUUUCUCAACUGAAUUUGUCAGCAAGUCCUUCAACAUCACCGAGGACGAAGCUGAUGACAUCACCGAAAGCCAGACUGGGGUUUUGAUCAUCAAGCUAGGUCAAGAUGAAAAGACCAAAAUGCCCCUUCCCAAUCAGAAACUCACCCACACACAUGUUCACAACAUUACUAGUAGUAAAACUACGGCCACAUUGACUGAGAAGGAAUUCCCUCUUCUUAAAGAAGCUGGGUUAAGUGCGAACCUCACGAAACUCGAGGCCGACGCAAUUAGCUCUCCAAUUUACGCACCUGAUUCCACAGUCCAGGUGAUUUAUGUUGCUCGAGGGAGUGGCCGGAUACAGAUUGUGGGUGUUAACGGUCAAUGUUUGUUGGACGCAGAGGUAACUGCCGGCCAACUGCUUGUGGUACCAACGUUCUUCAUGGUUGCUAAACUUGCAGGACAAAAUGGGUUGGAAUGUUUCACUGUCAUCACCAGUUCUCAGUAAGCACAUUGAGCUGUCACAACACCACUACUUUAAUUUCAAUAGUACCUUUUUUUUGUCUAUUUAUUAAAUGAAUUCAUUUCCAUAAUGAAGUACAAAUGAUUUCAUUUGGACACACAAACAAAUUGAUGCGCAUAUUAACGUACUCUAUAAUUCAAGUAGAUCUCACGUAUAAUAGUAUAAUCCAUUUGUAUUAAAAAGGGAGAAAGAUUCUCUCGCCUUUUAAUCUCUCUCCCAUUUCUUUCUCUCCUACUUGAACGGUUAUGAUUAAGUAACGUCAACAUCUUAUAUUUUAUUGAUUGUUUUAUAGAGACAAUAAGACAAAAACUAAUAUGUGAGAGGAGGGGAGGAAAAUGGAUGAGAAUAGAAGGGAAAGUAAUUUCAGUCUAUUAAAAAGUGUGUAAGUGUUGUAUGUAUAAAUAGUUUUAUUGCUGAACAUUAUUGUUGUGCAAAAUACUUUAAUUUCAGUAAGAAUAAAUAAUAUCGAAAUGUCACAACAACACUACUUCAAUUUCAGUAAUAUUUUUUUUUCUUUUCUUGAUGAAAUUAUUUGGAGACUGAAUUAUUGCUGUAUGAAACACUGUGUGUAUAUAUAUGUGUGUGCGUAUAUUAAUAUAGGGAUAACAUAAUUGGUAUUAUUUUUGCAGGCCUGUCCUGGAAGACUUAGCUGGAAAGACGUCAGCACUGGGAGCAUUAUCGCCGGAGGUACUACAAAUAGCCCUUAAUAUAAGUCCAGGGCUGGAACGACUUCUCAAGUCAAAGAUUAGAAAGGGCUGAUCGAUCAUGAUCAACGGUUCAACGGCCUAAUAAUUUAUCUUAUAUAUAUUAAUAAGCAGAUCAUCAUGCAUGAUAUAUUACUGCAAUGCAAGAGUGCGGUCGGAUCUUUCUGGUUAUCUUUAUUUUUAUGUGAUUUUCUUGAAUAAAAUUCUGCGAAUGGAUUACGGACGUGACAAUGUAAGGAUUCAGUAUUAAUAAAAUAGGACAAUAAAACUCCUAGAAAAGUAAAAGACUUCAGUUAAUACUAGAAAUAUAAUAAGCCACAAAUUUAAAGCAAGAUACAUGCAUUAUAGCUCUAAAAAUGCAUAUAUUUUUUCAUAUCAUUCUAAUCCCUUGAUGCCAUAGCUGCCACUAAUUUUAUGCAAUAAUGAUCUUGGUCCAUGGCCUGCAUCAGGUCGCUAGCAUCCUCUUUUCCUAAUUACCAUAGCAGUUGUUAUAUGACUUCAUAUAACAACUAGGUUGGAGCUAAGGUGAUGCAACCGAAAUGCACACAAGUAUUGUUUCAUAGGAAAACUAAUGAAAGGGGCUUGAAAACUUUGAGUUUUAACGAUAAGGACAAAAUAAAGGGUAAAGUGAAUAGUACCAUGAUUGACUUUUUAGUGUAAAAAUGUGGUUUUUCGUUGAAAUGAACAGUACCGGGAGCUUUUCAUUGAAGUUCCCUUGUUUCAUUUCACAAAGCACCCUACUGAAGCUACUACGCAUGUUAGCUAUAGAGGUCCAAUUUUCAAAAGAAAAAGCUGGCUACAAUCAUGUUAGCUACUCUACAUGAACAAACACAAUGCGUCUAUAGAAAAUAUACAUGCAAUCUAAUCAGUCUCCGGAAAAUUUAAAGGGAGCAAAAUAAAUGUCAACAUAUGCUGUCAAACAGUUUCUUUUAGGAAUUAUAUUGAACAGGUCGAUCCUCCCCUCCCGUCUGUUUUAGCAAUUUAUCUUAAGGUCUCCGCUCUAAGAGCUCCCUGGUAACAACAGAGGAGCCGACCCACCACCCCGUCGCGCCAGGCUUUUUUGUUUCACAAUAAAACCUGGACGAUUAUCCCUACCCUUGAUAGCUUAUGGGUUCACGUCCAUCCCCGAUUGGAUACUUUUGUUUAAAGAUACACGGUACUUUCUGCAUUCAAACCGGCCAACAAAAUCCAAAAGACCAGUCCGUGCUCACCAAACUAUAUAUUCGGUCUCCAUCAGAAAGACACCAAUUGAGUUCUUGUACUGGUGUAACUGCAAGGAUUCAUGUGCACAUCGUUCCAACCAUUCAAUUUUCAGUAAUUACUAGGGAGUAGGAUUCUCUCCCCUCCUAUUCUCAUCCCCUUCCCUCCCCUCCUCCCACACUUUGUUUUUUGUCUUAUUGUCUUUAUAAAAAAAUCAAUAUAAGAUGUUAACGUAGCUUAACUGUAACCAUUCAAGUACCAGGGAAGGAAAGGGGAGAGAAAUUAGGAGGGGAGAGAAUCCUCCACCAAUUACUAGUGCUCAACGUGCAAAAAAUAAAAUUGUACAAUGUACAUAACGGCCACCACUAAGUACAGAGUUCAGAUUUAGUUCCCACUGAAAUAUUCCUUCUCGGCCAUAGCGUGAAAUGAAGCUCAAAAGAGUAACGCAGAGCCCAACUAUAUAUGUUUACGAUACAAUAUAGUUCUCAUUGGCUAGAAUUCUACAAGGAUAGAACCGAUGAAGGAGAGUUGGAUAGAACCGAUAAGAACUAUGAAAGGUAUGAGAUAGCAAAGAAUGAAGUAGAGAAAGCCAUCAGCGAAGCGAAGCUAGCGGCUUUUGACAACAUGUGUAAGCAAUUAAAUACUAAAGAAUAAGAGUUAGAUAUUUAUAAAUUGGCCAGAACAAGGGAAAGGAAGACAAGACUUUAACCAAGAAAGGUGCAUCAAGGAUGAGAAUGGAAAUGUUCUAGCUAUGGAGAAUGCGGUUAUAGACAGAUGGAUAGCUUAUUUUCAUAAUCUCUUCAUUGAAGGACACGACAUGAGUACUUAGUUUUUUGGAUGAGUUGAGUGACUCGGAAGAGUGUAGAAUUACUUCUUUUACCGCUGAAUUAGGAAAGAGGAAGUGGUUGUAGCUUUGAAAAAAUGAAGCAUAGAAAGCAGUGGGUCCAGAGAUAUACUGAUCGAAGUGUAGACGGUCUUGGGAAAGACGGGUAUAACAUGGCUCACAAGCCUUUUCAAUAAGAUUUUAAAAAUGAAGAAGAUGCCCAAUAAGUGGCAAGAAAUCACUUUGGUGCCGAUCUUCAAGAAUAAGGAUGACAUAUAAAAUUGUAUGACCUAUAGAGGUAUUAAGUUAAUGAGUUAUACAAUGAAGCUCUAGGAGAGGGUAAUUGAGCAUAAACUGAGACACAGGCCUCAGAGAAUCAAUUCGGGUUCAUGCCAAGGUGCUCGUCAAUGGAGGCAAUCUAUGUGAAACCCCACCCCCAAAAUAAAUUGUAAUUUCACAUUUUCUUUAAAGUUAUGAAAUUACCUUUGUGUCCCUUAUCUUUAUACCCAAUUCGAAUCCUCUUUUUAGAUUCUCAUCCUCUCUCUGUUUGCCACGUGGGAGCCCCCUAACCCAUCCUCUCAUUCUCUCUUUUCUCCCCCGAACUCUAUCUCAGCUCAUUCACUCCAUCUCACUCUCUUUCCCUUUCAGAUCUCACUCACUCUCCUCUUCUCGUUUUCCCGGUGACACCUAAGGCUCCCAACGCCCAAAUCGUGACACCCCAGCGACCUCACCACCACCACCCUCGUAUGGACCUCAUCCUCUCUCUCUCUCUCCUCUGUGCAGCAAAGAGAACUUAGCAAGCUUUCCCGAUGAACCCGUGGACUUCGAAGCGUUUUCUGGCUAACUCUGGCCACCACUCGUCGUGAAAAGCCUUUUCGAAACAAGCCAUUAGGCCAUGCCAAUCCAGGGCCUUCGGCCCGUUGAACCCCAAAGCCUUUAACCCAAAAACCCUAGGCCGGACCCUUGGACCCUAGGCCUUCGAGCCAUGAGAACCUGGACCUUCGGCCAGUUGACCCUAGGCUUAUGAAGCCCAAACCCUUAAGCCCAGAAACCCUUCGGCCCAAGCCCAAACCUGGUCAAACCCAGAACCCCGGGCCGCACGUGGGCUUAUGUGUGGGCGUCCGUGAGGUCGAACGGCUGUCGGCGUGUGGAGCACACAUACCCCCGUGGACUCACGGCGGCACGUGGCCACUGGAGCCGCCACUUUAUGGCUGUUAGAAUAUAUAGGAUAUGGAAGGUGUGGAUCAUGACACAUGUAAUCAGCCAAAUAGAAAAGGCAGUUAAGAGUGUGGAUGUUAGAAUAAUUAGUUAGGAUUGUUGGUAAGUAAUUGAGUUGGUUAAGGCAGUUAGCUAAGUACUCAUCUAUAUAACAAUUGUACCAUUUGUAACAAGUAUCAAUCAAGAAAAUAAGAAAAGCAAUUCAUUCUCUCUCUCUAAACCUUCUUUGGUUUCUUCUUUUUCCUCAUCUGUGAUUUUCUCUGUUCUCUUUCUGCAUAUUACUUAACAUGGUAUCAUCGUCUUGAAAGCCAUUCGAGCUUUCUCGAUUCAUGUGUUGCUUCCGCUACGAUCUUAACACACCGAUUCUUCUUCUUUCUCUAGAAAUUUCGAGCUUCUUUCUUACCCAGUUCUCUGAUUUCUUCUUGGUGAAUUCUUGCACGCUAGGUGUUUGGUUUUUUGUCUCACUCAGAUUCUUUCACAAUGAUCAUUGCGAAUCAGUUGCAAAUCUUGCAAUCACCGAUUACCAACUUGAUUUCAUCAGUCUCUAAUUCGGUUAAAGUGAAGUUGGAUGAUUCCAACUACCUUCAAUGGCAGUUUCAAUUGCAAUUGAUGCUCGAAGGCUAUAGAAUCAUGGGGUUCGUAGAUAGCACAAACGUGAGUCCUCUUCAGUUUUCUUCAUUUGGGUCUCCUGAUUCGGCACUAAUCGGUGUGUCUUCAACCCGACAAGCUGAAAAUAAUGAAUACAGGAUAUGGAAGAUGCAUGACAAGGCUCUCAUGCAACUUCUUACUGCAACUUUGUCUUCCUCUGCCAUUUUUUGUGCCAUAAGCAGUACUAGCUCAAGAGAUCUUUGGAUUCGGCUUCAAGAACAGUUUUCUACUGUUAGUCGUACAUCCAUUUUCCAAAUGAAAGUUGAUCUUCAUAACAUAAAAAAGGGUUCUGAUUCUAUAUCGAUGUAUCUUCAUCGAAUUAAAGCAACACGAGAUUUUCUUGCAGCUGCCAGAGUUGUCUUUGCUGAUGAAGAUAUUAUGAUUUUGGCUCUCAGUGGUCUUCCUACAGAAUAUAACACUAUCAAAUGUGUUAUUCGUGGAAGGGAAAGUGUUAUAUCUUUCAAGGAGUUUCGUUCUCAGUUACUUGCAGAUGAGGCCACUGUUGAGAACAAUUUCUCUAUGCCCUUUAUGUUUGCUAUGGUGGCCAAGAACAAUGGUCAAGGAUCACAAAGUUACUCUGUUAGGAACUCUUCUCGAAAUGGUUUUCAGAAUAAUACUAAAACAUUUAACAAUGGGGGCAGUUCCGGAUUUAAUGGCCAUUUUAGUCAAUCUAGUUUCUUCAAUGGUGAAAGGUCAAAGUAUAAAGGUAAAGGGAAGUUUAACAAUAAUCAAGGACAAAGAUAUUAUAAUUCCAAACAUGUGGUACAUGAUUUUGCUCCUGGAAUUCUUGGGACUUCGUCUUCAUUCAACAGUGGUGCAUCUUCUUCAAAUGUUAUAUGUCAGAUUUGCUCUAAACAAUGACAUUCUACUGUAACUUGUAAAUUUAGAGAUGUUGAGCCUGUUGAGCCUUGUCAAAUCUAUGACAGGAAAAAUCAUACUGCAAGAACUUGCUUCUUUAGGAAUAAAUUUCCUAAUCAAGUCUCACGCAUGGUAGCCAUGAACACCACGUACUCACACUCAGUGUCAUCCAAUCACAUGAUGCCUUCUGCAAUGUCCAACUCUGUACCUUUGUCCACCACCACACAAUAUUCGCUCGAAGUUUGGCUCACUAAUUCUGGGGCCACAAACCACAUGACUACUGAUAUGGGGAAUUUGAGCUUGGCAUCACCAUAUCCAAUUACUGAAACUGUCCAGACUGCAAAUGGGGAAGGUUUGCAAGUGUCUCACAUAGGCACAUCUUUCUUGAGGACCUCACAUCAUCCUUUGAAACUGAAUUCAGUUCUUUAUGUGCCAAGAUUGUCUCAUAAUCUUUUAUAUAUGCAUAGAUUAUGUUUAGACAACAAUUGUUGGUUAAUAUUCGAUGCUUUCUCUUUUUGGAUCCAGGACAAGGCCACAGGGAGAAUCCUAUUCCCGGGAGUAUGAAAUAAUGGACUAUAUCCUAUACCAUCUCUUAUACCACAUCAGUCUGCUUUAACUUCAAAAAUCAUGGCCUGCUUGGGAAAACUAGUCAAUUUAACUCUUUGGCACAACCGAUUAGGUCAUCCUUCUAACUCAGUUUCUUCUACAAUGCUUAAGAAGUCUAGCAUAGUUACUGUGCAUGAUACAUCUUCUACAAUGUGUAAAAGUUGUUUAGAGGGGAAAUUUAGCAAGUUACAUGUUCAGUCUGUUCAAACUAGGUCUGUGGUUCCUUUUGAGGUGAUACAUAGUGAUUUGUGGGGUCCAGCACCUUGUCAAUCUUUAGAUGGAUAUAAAUACUAUGUCCUAUUCAUAAAUGAAUGUACUAGAUUCAAUUGGAUUUUUCCCUUAAUAAAUAAAUCAGACCUUUUCUCUACAUUUGUCUCUUUCUAUCAUUAUGUUUGCACUCAAUUUACAACCAAAAUAAAAAUUCUGCAAAGUGAUGGAAGGGGAGAGUUUAUAAGCAAAAAGUUUCAAACAUUUCUCACUGAACAGGGUGUUUUCCAUCAGAUGUUUUGUUCCUAUACCCCUAAACAAAAUGGGUUAGCUGAACGUAAACAUAGGCACAUUGUAAAAACUGCCCUUACAUUGCUGCAAACUGCUCAUUUACCUCCAUUAUUUUGGACUUAUGCAUGUCAUACAGCAACCUACUUAAUCAAUAGAAUGCCAACUAUUGUUCUUCAUAACAAAUCACCAUUUAAAUUACUAUAUGAUGUUGUCCCUGAACUUUCUCACUUAAAGGUAUUCAGUUGUUCUUGCUAUCCUCUCCUUAAACCAUAUAAUACUUCCAAAUUACAACCUAAAACCUCUCGAUGCUUAUUUUUGGGAUAUGCUCCUCACUAUAAAGGGUACAUCUGUUAUCAUCUGGAUACCAAAAAGACCUACAUUUCUAGACAUGUCGUAUUCAAUGAACUCGAGUUUCCAUUUCCAUUCCUAUUUGUUUACGCUAAAGCUCAGAUUAUUACUCUCACUCCAUUACUUGACAAUGCACCACUACCAACUCCAAAUCUUCAAAAUGUUCUUGUUUCACCAUUUUCAAAUUCUAAAGUGCACACUUCAUCUACACCUAGAGAUACUCCAUCUACUAGAUCUCAGUCACCUCAAAUACAUGCACAACCAUCUCCAACACAUAGUCAAUCACCUCAAAUGCAUACAGAGUCAUGUCACAGAUCUAUUGAGUCCCCAGAUGUAUUGCAGACUUCUAGUUCUUAUGAUACUGAUACCCCAACCACACCACAGUCCAUUAUUGAUGCUCUAUCUCCUUCUUCAUCAACUCCUGUGGCACUUGAGUUUCGUCCUGAGACUCUCCAAGUAGUUCUUGAGAUUCCACCUAUGAAUCUCCACCCAAUGUAGACUUGAUCCAAAAGUGGUAUUGUGAAGCAUAAAGCCUUGUAUGCAUCAGUUUGUGAUUCUGGAGGGGUGAUCUUACUAUAACAGAGCCGGCAACAUAUAAGUCAGCUAUGAAAGAACUAGUGUGGCAUGAGGCUAUGAAUGAAGAGAUUGCAGCUUUACAUUCUCAAAGAACAUGGAGUCUAGUGGAUUUUCCACACAAUAAGAAUCUUGUUGGCUGCAAGUGGGUAUUUAAAAUCAAGAGGAAUUCUGAUGGGACAGUAGCGAGGUACAAAGCGAGACUUGUUGCAAAAGGGUUUAAUCAGGAGCAUGGACUCGACUAUGGGGAAACGUUCAGUUCGGUUGUUAAACCAACCACUGUCAGGUUAGUGUUAGCUUUGACAGCUCAUCAUGAUUGGCCUCUACAUCAAUUAGAUGUCAAAAAUGUCUUCCUUCAUGGCAUUUUACAAAAAGAAGUUUAUAUGACCCAACCUCCGGGAUUUGAAGAUCAUAAUCAUCCUCUUAAAGUCUGUAAAUUACACAAGUCUCUCUAUGGACUCAAGCAAGCCCUAAAGGCUUGGAAUGACAGGUUCACAAGCUUUCUACCUAAAUUGGGGUUCCACAAUACAUAUGAUGAUUCAUCAAUCUUUGUCAAGAGUUUUGGUUCUUCACUUGUGAUUCUGUUGCUCUACGUAGAUGACAUCAUAAUUAUUGGAAAUGCCAUUGAGAUGAUUGCAUAGGUUAUUGCAGAUUUAACACAUGAAUUUGAUCUCAAAGAUCUGGGGUUUCUCCAUUAUUUUCUUGGGAUACAAAUUACAAAAACAGAUGAAGAGUUGUUUCUAUCUCAAGAGAAGUAUGUGAAAGAUUUGUUGCAGAAAACUGAAAUGUUUGAUUAUAAACCAUGUGCAACUCCUUGCUUACCUUAUAACAGGUUAUUGAAGGACGAUGGGGAACCUUUUAAUAAACAUAGUCUCUAUAGAAGUAUUGUUCGUGCCUUACAAUACUUGGUUUUUACACGGCCUGACAUAGCCUUUUCAGUACACCAAGUUUGUCAGUUUAUGCAAUUUCCAAUGGCUUCUCAUUAUUUGGCUGUGAAGAGAAUCUUGAGAUAUCUCAAAGGGACUAUGGCACAUGGAAUUUGAUAUACUAAAGGCAGUUUAACAUUCCGAUCUUUUAGUGAUGCUGAUUGGGUUGGAGAUCCUAAUGAUAGGCAUUCUACAACAGGUUUUGUUGUGUUUCUUGGUAACAAUCCUAUCUCUUGGGCUUCAAAGAAAAAACAAACAGUAUCAAGAUCAUCAACUGAAGCUGAAUAUCGAGCUCUCUCAUCCACUGUUGCUGAAUUGGAUUGGCUGUAACAAUUAUUUCAGGUUUUACAAGUUCAAAUUUCUCACCCACCAGUUCUUUUUUGCAGCAACCUUUCUGCAAUCACAUUGUCCUUUAAUCCAGUGCAACAUCAGCGCACAAAACAUAUUGAAGUCGAUGUUCAUUUUGUGAGAGCGCGUUGCAAGCAAGUAGCUCUUGGUUCAGUUUGUCUCUUCUUCCGAGCAGUUUGCUGACAUUCUUACCAAAUGACUAAGUUCGCAAUUGUUUAAUACACACUGCAACAAUCUCAUGAUUGGACCACCAUGAGCUUGCGGGGGGGGAUGUUAAAAUAUAUAGGAUAUGGAAGGUGUGGAUCAUGACACAUGUAAUCAGCCAAAUAGAGAAGGCAGUUAGGAGUGUGGAUGUUAGAAUAAUUAGUUAGGAUUGGUGGUAAGUAAUUGAGUUGGUUAAGGCAGUUAGCUAAGUACUCAUCUAUAGCAAUUGUACCCUUUGUAACAAGUAUCAAUCAAGAAAAUAAGAAAAGCAAUUCAUUCUCUCUCUCUCUCUCACCUUCUCUGGUUUCUUCUUCUUCCUCCUUUGUGAUCUUCUCUGUUUUCUUUCUGCAUACUACUUAACAAUGGCGGCGCAUGAGGGCGUGUGCGGCGGCCGUGGGGGUACCUGAGGUCCCCCUUAUAUUUUUUGAUGUCCUGAAUCCGUUUAAGACAUCUGUUUUCUGAAAUUCAAUCGUUAUGAUAGAGUUUUAUUAAUUCGACCCUUUAUAUGCUUAAGUGCAAUUAUUAGUGGCGAUUCCGUCCUUCCUAUUUCAUACGGCUCUUCGACGAUGGAGUAUCUGUGAGUGGACCCCUUCUAAAAUGCAUGUUUUAAUAGUAGAAAUGCAUACAUGAAAAGCAUGAUUUAUUGGUUACGUUUUAUGAAACGUUUUACAAGUAAAUUAGUUUUACACUUUAUGAUUAUCAUGCUUUACUGAGAAUAUUUUGGAAUACCAUACUUUAUCGAAUUUAUAUUCUUUGUAGUAUAUAUGAUGGAUGACUAUAUACUAUUUAUGAACAUGUUUUUACACUCCUAGUAUAUAUGAUGGAUGACUACAUACUAUGAAUAUGUUUUGAGAUAUAUGUACGUAUGUUGGAAAGAUUAUAUUCAAUGUUUUGUGCUUAUCUAGUGGUCAUUAUUCUGCAUACGGGCGAUGAUACUUAUUGGCCUACGGAUCGGGUGAUGUGGGGGCCUACGCGUCGGGUGAUGUAUGGGCUUACGGGUCAGGUGAUGUAGGGGCCUAUCGGUCGGAAGAUAUUAUAUUGGCCUACAUGUCGAGUGAUGUAGGGGUCUACGGGUCAGAAGAUAUUAUAUUGGCCUACGGGUCGGGUGAUGUAAGGACCAACGAGUCGAUUAUGAUACCACUAUUUAGCACAAUAUGUAUAUACGAUACAGGUUUUAUGUCAUGCUAGGGUUUUCGGAAAAACCUAUUAUAUAUUAUACUAUUGAGUUUUCAUAAAACUUUGGGGGUUAGUACGUUAUUGCAUAACUGUUUCAAUAUUAUAUAUAUAAAACUUUGAGGGUUAGUACGUUAUUGAAUAACUGUUUCAAUAUUAUAUAUAUAUAUAUAUAUAUAUAUAUAUAUAUAUAUAAACUUGGUCCACUCAUGUUUGUUUUAUGCCCCCUCAGGACAUAGGAACGAGGUAUACGACCCGAGCUACGAGCCAUUCCCCUACCAAUGAUACCGCGUCAUCCUCUCUGCUUUGACUUCAUUUGUAAUAGCACCUUCCGCUUGUAUUCUGAAUUAGAUGUAUGCUCUGAACAUGUCAUGCAUUAUCACUAUGUUUUCAUUGUUGGCAGUUGAAUAUUAUUUAUUAUUUUAGUAGUUUGUAUUUGAAUAUUACCUUGUGUAGUUCGCGCGAAAUUUAUAUGCAUGUUUCACAUGUUCUCGGCAUAUGCAUUCAUUAAAUGGCUUUCGUCACCCUCGGGUGUCUACCAAUAUGUGACCAUCCCGAUGUCCCUCGGACAUCGGGAUCGAGGCAUGUCAAUCUAUCUCUUAUGAAGAUCAAUGGAAUGAUAUAGAGAUGUGAAAAAAAGAUUUGUACAUGAUCUUUAUAGAUUUAGGAAAAAUGUAUGAUAGUCCUAAGAGAAAUUCUUUGUAGGAUUCUAGAGAAGAAAAGGGUACGAGUAGCAUAUAUCAAAACAAUAAAGGAUAUGUAUGAUGGAGUAAAGACUGUAGUAAGAACUCAUAGAGGACAAACUGAAAGCUUUCCCAUACCAUAGAGUUACACUAAGGCUCAACUUUAAAUCCUUACCUUUGCAUUGGCAAUUGAUUAGUUAAUGGGACAUAUUCAAAAUGAUAUCCCUUGUGUAUAUUUUUCACAGAUGAUAUAGUGCUGAUAGAUGAAACGUAGGAGGCAGUAAAUCUGAAGCUUAACCUUUGGCGCGAAGUGUUUGACUCUAAAGGUCUUCACCUAAGUAGGUCAAACAUAGAGUAUAUAAAGUGCAAGUUUAGUGAAAUGGAGGCUCAGACGAGAUAUGGGUGAGGAUUAGAGAUUAGGAAGUACCAAAGAGUGAACAUUUUCAUUCCUUUAGAUAUGUUUUGCAAAAUAACGUAUAGUUAGAUGAAGAUCUCAACCAUAAAAUAAAAGCUGGAUGGAUGAAGUGGAAGAAUGAAUAGGGUGUCAGUAAUGUGAUUAAUUUUGUGUUUCUAGCCUUAUGUAUAUUUUUUUAAUUUACAAAUUCCAAAUAGUUAAUUUAGAAUGAUUUACAAAUUACAAAUAAUAUGAUACAUUAGCACAUAACAGAAGUUUUGACAAAAUUGUCAUGGAGAACCAUACUGAUUUUCGACACCCAUUUUCAGGAACCACAUUGAUGGAGUGAGUCAAAUUUCAGGGACUAUUUGUGAUAUAAAAAAAAUGAGAAAGGAGGAGUCAGUUGAAGUGAGUGCCAGUUGUAACGACAUAUUUUGUAAUUUUUGUUUAUCUUAAAUGGAUAUAAGUAUUACAGUACAUAAUCGACCCAUUUAUAAUUAACAUAAAUAUUGUUGAUAUAUUUUGUAAGUUUUUAUUGAUUUUAUACAAAAUCACCCAGUUUUAUGUUUAUAAAUAACAUUCUGUAUUCUUUUUAUAAUUUAAAAAUUCCAAUAAUUAGUUUUAGCCUGAUUUACUUCAAAUAUUUUGUAGCUCGAACAUAAUGGUUCAAACAAGUACAUGCUCAGUAAUUUUUUGGCCUGAUCGUCGCAUGCCAAUUUAUUCAUGUUAUUACACAUACAACUAUUUAUUAACACUCUAUAGCAUAGGUGCAUGAAAUGCAAACCGUAUCAUCUAUUAAGAAACUUGUAGACAUUUGAUGACAGAGUAGAAUAUGGGGAAAAGGCCACAGUUUAUCUUGCCACAUAUUGAAUAGGUUGAAAAUCAGUAUAUGCAUAAUUAAUAUACAAAGAAUAAAAAAAUGACUAACAAACCAAAGAAAAAAAAAACUGACUAACAAACAGAAGAAGAAACUGACUACAAACGAAUAUAAUUUUAUUGACUGAAAGUCAUGACAACUACAAAUCGGAUGACUACAUGGUGAUUGACUUACUUUAAACUAAAUAACAAUACAUCUUAACUAAUCCUAAUUCUAAAAGGCAAGGAAAUGAAACCCUAAAAGGCAAGGAAACGAAACCCUAAUCUACCAAGAGGUCUUCUACCACAGUAGUGGAGAAGAGUGUUGUCCUUGCACCACGGCAUGAGUUUGAACCCCAUCAGCUCUCCAAUCUAACAAAUCUAUCUUUUGACAAAAAACAAAAAAGAAAUUCUAAAACGAGCUAGACCUAAAUUCUAAAAUCUCAAAAAACCUAAACAAUAAAAUAAAUCUAAAAUACUAAUAUUUUCCAACGUAACAAUUCGACUUUCUGCAUAAUAACAACGAUUACACUCUUGUACUCAGCUGAGAGAGAGUAUGUGGCUCAUAAGUGGCCAUAGCUCAAUGCUUGCUGACCAUCAAUGGCCCGAAAAACUAUGCCUUAGAUAAUUCAAUGGCCUUGGCCCAAAUUUCUCCUCCGUGAGGAGCAUUUUGUAUUAGAAAAUAUUAGUAUUUUUGUUUAUUUGAAUAUUUGAUUUUCUGGACUUAGCCCAUUGGUAUUAGAGUUUUGAUUUCUUAUCUUUUAGGAUCAGAGUUAGUUUAUUAUAAAUAGCAUGUUUGUUAUUCAUUUGAGAAUAAGUUUGUCACAAUGUAACCUUUUAAAAUUUUGUAACCGUUUCGGCAUUCUCGUUUGUUUAAUAAUAUUUUUAUUAUUUUUUUGAUCUCGUUUGUCGUGCACUCUGAUAUUCAACUUGGUAUCAGAGCAGGUUAGAUCCUUCGGGAUUUGAUCUGCUUGUUUGAUAUUCAUGUCUGUCGCAUUUGUCAUCUGUUAGUUAGGGUUCUAUUAGAUUAUAUGUGUCCGUCGUCGUUCUUGUUUAGAUUGUUUAGUUGUCUGGUUUAUGGUUUGCAAGAGAGAAGAAAAAAAAAAAGGUUUGUUUUAGAAAAAUUUCAGUUUGUGUCUGACGGCCUUCUGCUCCUUCUUCGCCGUCCAUAUUUGUCCUGAUCAUCUGCGCGUGUUGUCGAAGCCCAGACCGGAGAACCAAUUGGAUCAAGUUCGUCUCCACUUGAACUCCCGGCUCCUGCAAAGCAGAUUUAAUAAUCACGUAUCUGCAGCUGUCCACUGAUCUGAAUCCACCACCAUCCAACACAACCUGCAUCACCACACCGUUUCUUGCACUGCAUCUGCACCAGUUCGACUCGCCCCACCUCGCCUGCAUGACUCACUGCCGUUGCACCCACAACCUGUCUCUAGCCUGAUCCUUCCCCACCAUUACAAUUCGCAACGAUCCCCACCGCACUGCUCGUUCUCACUCUCACCCAGACCCGCAAACCCCAUCUGCACACUGCCGCUGCAACCAGAAGCCUGCACAUCUACCGUCCGAAUCCACCCCGCCACCAAUCCAUCCAGUCACGCCAUCGCCAUUGCCUGAAAUCUCGCCUUCGCUGUUUUCACUUGUUCGCACAGAAAAAGAAAGAAGAAGGAAAUAAAAAAAUAAAAAAAAAGAAAAAAAUAGAAAAAGAAAACAGAAAAAAGGAAAAAAGAAAAGAAAAAAAAGGGUAUAGAGCCCACAAUCUGUUGGGCUAUUAUGAUUUGUUUGAAGGCCUUUAGUUGGGCCUUGUUGAUAGAAGCUCUGUCAACCUGGUUUGUUUAGGACUCACAUGGUUGAUGUAAGAAUAGUUAUUGUUGAGCUUGUAUUGGAUCUCCUGGUUGCCCACCAUCACGAUUACUCGAGUGCUUGGACUGAUGACCACUCGAGUGACGUUAUGUACCUGAUUAUUAGUUGGAUCGUCCGUCGGAAUUUGCUUGCUUGCCAAAUGGUUGAAUGAUGGAAUUGCUUGACUACUCGUCAGCUUGCUUGCUUGUUCGCUUGGAUUGUUCGUUUGCUCGCUUGAUUGCCCGCUUGCCUUGUCAUGUCCGCCUAACAGAGCUUGCAUCUGCAUCUGCUUGUUGGCAAACUCAUGACGUGUAUUGCCAUGAGUUUGACGCCCGGGGGGGGUGUUGGAAAAUAUUAGUAUUUUGGUUUAUUUGAAUGUUUGGUUUUAUGGGCUUAGCAUGUUAGCAUUAGGGUUUUGAUUUCUUACCUUUUAGGGUUAAAGUUAGUUUAUUAUUAAUAGCAUGUUUGUUAUUCAUUUGAGAAUAAAUUUGUCACGAUGUAGCCUCUUAAGAUUUUGAAGCUGUUUCGGCAUUCUUAUUUGUUUAAUAAUAUUCUUAUUAUUUUGUAGUCUCGUUUGUCGCGCACUCUGAUAUUCAACUUUUUGAACGUGUUUCUCAUAACAAGUUUUCAAAUAACUUUCACAACCAAAUAUAUGCAAUGUAUAUCAAUUUACAAGGAACCAAUAGACAAUGACGUAUUGCGCCUGUGGUCCAACCAAGCUCUCAAAAACAUGAGACUUCUUGUAUUUUAGGGUUUAAUCAAAGACGCACAAGAACUCGGUUUUCACUGAACACAACGAGAGAUAUAGAAGGUUCAUCAUUAAGCUUUUCUUCUUUUGUAUGUUCAUUUGUUUAGGUUCUUCAUUUUUCUCUCUUUCUAGCUUUAGAAUACAACGCAGCAAAGAUAAACUUCUCUAUUGACACAGUCACACAAGGGGAUUUCCUUUUGCGACAAUUGUAUUUACAAAUUGACCAUAUUGUUGACACAGUCUCAAAUAGAGUAAAAUGUGAGUUGUCUAAACUAAAGAGUGUGACGCUAACUUCGAGUGUCUAAAUGAUGUUUCUUUUUCUCAUAAUUUUGUUUGAUUAUAAAUCUCAAUAUUUGAUUUUAGCCUAAUUUACAGUAAAUAUUUUGUAGCUCGCACAUAAAUAGUUCACACAAGCACAUUUGGAGUAAUUUGUACGUAGCUCAGAAAUAGAGGGAUUUUUUUUUUCAGAGGCAUCCAAAUAUUUUUGUUGAAGCAGAGGCUUGGCUUUAUAAUAGUAGAGAUUAUGAUCCUGCUCUCCUCUUCCCUUCUUUCUCUCUUCUCGUUUGCAUCUCUUGUCUCUUUUCCCUUGCUCUUCUCUUCCCCUUUUCUCUUCUUCUUACGUUUAAUUGUUCCCUUUUCAUCUCUUCCCCAAAUCGAACAAAACUGAUAAAACUGAGCUGAAUCUGAACCGAACUAGUUGUACUAUUUUAUUUUAUUUUUGAUUUUUUGGGGUGAACCAAACCGUUCUCACAUGUAAUUAGUUAGUGUUUAAGCAUGUUUAUAGGGAAUUGAAUAAUUAUGCUGACUUCAUGCUCUUUGUGAGCUCUAAAUUGUUUAGUUAAUAUUUUAGUUUUACAACUGAUAAAUAAAAAAUAAAAUAAAAUAACGCAUAUAGAUUAAGAUAAACUUUCGUAACCACUGAAAGUAGGUGUCAAUUAAUACAUAUUUCCAAAUGCUUGCGUUAUGGCUGAGAGAUAAUUCAUACACACGACAGUGAAGCAAAUAAUACAGCGUACCUAGCCCGGUCCACUUGAGGAGAUUUUUUUUUAUAUAUAUAUCCGAAACACGAGUCAGUACAUCAUAUGUCAUAAUAGGCAUAUAUUUUUAGUGUCUCUUGGCAAAGGUUGUCGAGGCACUGGUAGUAAGUUCAUUUGUAUUAUAAUACAUGAUGUAUAAACUUAUGUUACGUUACACAAAAAUCUCUCUAGAGUUGGGGCUACUUGUGAAUAGUGUGUAUCACAUAAAGAUGUCAAGUCACUAUUUAGAAGGGGGUUUUUCCUGUUUCGGGGAAACAUGAGACUAAAGACCUUUCUACAUGCUUUUGUCACGUACAUGGGGGGUGGUGGGUGGGGACUUUGAUCCAUCAAAUAUCAACCACAUCGUUCACUAGAAAGAAUUUUGACGUUGUGAGAAACAUAUUUUGAACAUGUUUAUUGAUAAAGAGAGUUUUCUUGUUUCUCAGAGGCAUUUGUGUCCAGUUAUUUUUGUUGAAGCAUGUUGCACCAAAGCAGAGACUUGGCUUUAUAAUAGUAUAGAUUACGAGUCCGCUUUCCUCUUCCCUUCUCUCUCUCCUCUUGUCUCUUUUCCCUUGCUCUUCUCUUCCCCUUUUCUUUUCUUCAUACGUUUUAUAUGUUUCCUUCUCAUCUCUCCUCCCCCCAAAUUGAACAAAAUUGAUCAAACAUGAGCUGAGUCAAAACCGAAGUAGUUCUACUAUUUAAUUUCAUUUUCAAUUCUUUUGGUUUUGGGGGGGGUUGGAAAUCGAACCAAACCAUUCUCACCCAUAUUAAUUAGCCAGUGUUAAGCAUGUUUAUAGGGAAUUGAGCAGCUGCUUCAUGGUUUUUGUGAGCUCUAAACUGUUUAGUUAGUAUUUUACAACUGAUAAAUAAAAUUUGAAUAAAAUAACGCAUAUAAAUUAAGAAAAAAAAAUCUAGUAGUCACAUGGGGCAAACUACAUGACGGGUCCAACAUGCUUUUGUCACGUACAUGGGGGGUAGUGGAUGGGUACUUUGAUCCAUCAAAUAUCAAUCACAUCGUACACUAGAAAGAAUUUUGACGUUGUGAGAAACAUAUUUUGAACAUGUUUAUUGAUAAACUUUAUCAUGGUCCAUCACAAAUAGCGUGCAUAUUAUCUGAAUGUAACCAUCUAUUAUUAGCUUUUGGGUUUUAUAAUUAAAGUCUUCGAUGAUAUUCACAUAAAAAACUUUCUUAUUAUUUAUAUUAUUUUGUCAUAUCUCCGCUCAAGGAUUCAAUUCUCUAACUUUUAUUGCUUUAAACAAAUUUCCAAACAAUUUUCACAACUUGAAGCAAUGUAUAACAAUAAAAUAGAGGCUAUUUUCUAAGUAACUAGGAUUCUCUCCCCUUCCUCCCCUCCUAUUUGAACGGCCAUGAUUAAGCUACGUCAACAUCAUGUGUUGCCCUCUUUAUAAAGAGAGAAAUACAACGAAAAUGUGAGAGGAGGAGACAAAAGAGGAGGAAAAUUGGAGGGGAGGCAACCCUAGAUAGAUAGCUCAUUUGUCUUCACUCACGAAACUUAAAGGUGAUAUUUUCUCACAUGUUUGUAUUAUAUCUCUUUGCUUGUAGGUUUCGGUUUUCUGUGUCCAGAUAAAUUAACUUCUCCUUUGACACAUUCACACAAGAGGAUUUCCUUUUACAUUAAUUGUACUUGCAAAUUGCAAUAUUGAUCAUACUAUUGACACACUCUCAUAUAGUGAAAUGUGAGACGCCUGUCUAAAUUAAAAAGCAUGACGCCAAUUUUGAGUGUAUAAUGACGUUUCUUUUUGUUCUUUUGCAUAAUUAUAAAUUCCAAUUGAUUUUAGCCUAAUUUACUGUAAGUUUUUUUUUUUCUUUUUUUUUGUAGCUCGCACAUAAACACAAGCACAUUUGUAGUAAUUUUGUAGCAACAUGUUGCACCAAAGCAGAGACUUGGCUUUAUAAUAGUAGAGAUUACGAGUCCGCUUUCCUCUUCCCUUCUCUCUCUCUCUCUUCUCUUGUCUCUUUUCCCGCGCUCUUCUCUUCCCCUUUUCUUUUCUUCAUACGUUUUAUAUGUUUCCUUCUCAUCUCUCCCCCAAUUGAAUAAAAUUGAUCAAACAUGAGCUAAGUCUAAACCGAAGUAGUUCGUGUUUGGGCAGGAAUGUCGCCUGUGGGUGUUCCUGGCUCGAGCACACAAAAAAGGCCAAUCUAUGCCUAGUAAAGCUCCAUAAGUGGAAGUGUUGUUCACAACAAAAAGGGCCAACAUAACUCGUUUUGAUCCUAAAUCCACCUUUAACGGCAGUAUCCCAUGCGUCUUGGUGAUAGCUCCGGAGAAACUAGAAACUGUAAGAUCAGUAGGAAUAAGAUCCCCUUCACUCCUAUACAUCUUCUUCAUCUGCUUGUGUGGCAGCACAUUAACUGCAGCCCCACCAUCGAUCAGGACCCUCUUGAAGGGUACUCCAUCCAAGUGUGUAGUUACAUAUAUGGGCUUGAGAUGGUUGGCCAAGCUUGAAGGGAACUCCCUCCUUAUUGAUGGUUCGGGCAAUCCAGUUUGGUUAGGUUCUCCUUGUCCUGUAUUCUCAACACUAACAUGCGUCAUCAUGGGUUUUGUUGCCAAGUAAUCACCUUCCAUGAUGGGAGGUUGAUCAUGCUCGGCACGAAACAUGGCUGAUAAAACAUAUGUCAUGUUUAUGUGGAGGUCACUAGGCCCAGGUACAUCUCUUUCCUUGCUCCCUAUGUGGUUCAUAAACCCAUCUAACCAAGCUUGUGCUUUUUCUGGCAAUAUUAAUUCAGGCACCGCCUCUUCUCGAGUUAUGCCGAAGUUCUGCACCUGCACUAGGCUCUCACAGAGUGUAUCUACCAACAAUGGUGAGGGUAUCCCUCUCUCGGACGAAAUUGUUCCAAAACAGCUUAGUUAUGGGCUCCACUUAGAUGUUGGCAUCAUUACCAUAUCUUCCUGAAAUCUUUUUAGGAUUCUAUAUUUUCCCGGGUGAAUGCUCAAUGACGCAUGGACUCCUGCCCCUUCAGUCUUGCUAUUGGCUUUCUCUACCUCCUUCUUGGUUCUCCAGCGGAUUUGAAUCUUUCCUUCAAUAGGUACCUUGUUUACCUCUCCAUUUUUAGAGGUCUCUGAGGUGGUGGGGACCUUCAAUGAAUUCAUGUGGGCUUUAUGUUGCCUUUAGACUCUCCUGAUCAUGGAAGCUCCCAUCUCUUUAACGGGCUUUCCAUCCAUUCCAACUACAUACCAUCUCCGCCCGAGUCGGGUAACAUUCUUUUUAGUGACUGGGUUCACUGUUUUUCUUUUAUUCUAACAUCACUGGCAUAACUUGGUUGAGGUGGCCUUACGUCUACCCACCUUGGUGUAUCGGCCUUCUUGUCCUCUGCUUCUUCUGAAGCUUCAUAGUUUCUGAAUACUUCCGACAAGUUCUUUAGUUGAGAGUCUCCUCCCAACUUUUGGAAAAUGCUCCGAGAGGUUUCCUUUUUAGCUGCCCACGUGAUAUCUCUGUGGGACUCAUGCUCUUCUUUUCCUCUUCUCUUGAUCAAUUCCUGGUCGAGGAUGGCUCCUGCAGUUGGUACUUCAAGCUCGCACUCACAUUGACAUUUAUUGCACAAAACCACCCCUUUGAUUAUUGUUUCCUUAGGCUUUUCAGGCAACUUGAUAGCUCAUUCCGUCGACCUAUCAAUUUGUCGCCUUUCAGCUCUUACUUCCUCGGUAGCUUUUUCUUUCCCUUUCUCUGCCCACGUUAAAUUGAUCAUGUUUAUGGGGGCUUGUAGAAAAGGACCAGCACAUGUUACUACUUUAGUUUGAGAUUCUCCCAAUGUUUGCAUUAUUUCUAGCCCAUAUUGCCCCUUGUUAUUCAAUAAGAAUGACAAGGGGUCAGACAAUUUAGGCUUCUUGAUCUCAUUCAAAAUUAACUGGUCGGUUCCGGUUUCUUCCUCAUACUUUUCCUUAUCCCCUUCUUCUUUUAGUAAAGGGAACAAGGAAACAGCUGGUUCAUUCAUAGGGCUAGACUGGUUUGCUAUCCUUUCAACAUUAUCAUUUUCUGGAGUAGAGUGCUCCAAAUCUGACCUUCUUUGCGGAUUCAUGGAACAGCCUUUGUUCGUCUCUCCUUUAGCUCCUGCAAAGUUCCUCUCCAUAUUGAGAUAACUCUUCUCCAAGCUUUUCAAGAUAGCCAUCAAGGCAACCUGUAAAUGUUCUUUUGUAACUUUUCCUUCUGACUUCUCAGAAGAAGUCAGGCUUUCCGUUAAGACAGGUCCUUGCAAGUCUUCGGGGAGAUUUGUCAUGCUGGAUCUUGGUGUGUAGUGGGAUGAUUUCUUUUUUGCUCCCCACAUGAAGGUUUGUUCCUUCCUUCGCCUUCUUGGCAUACAAGAUUUAGUCCUAUUGGGCAUGCCAAAACUAUGUUCGGGCAGGAAUGUGGCCUGUGGGCAUUCAUGUUUCGAGCACACAGCUCCCCGCAGAGUUGGCACUUUGGUUGACUGUCGGGUUCUCGCUUUGUUCGUCGGGCUGCAAGAAGAGGACAUAGUUAAUUCUGAAAGGUGCCUUUGUCGGGCCUUAAGUAUAGGCCGUGAGGCUCGCAGUCAAAACUAACUUAAGUGCUGAGGCGUGCCACUGCCAUCUCAGUAUGGCAGAUGUAAAAUGAGUAGAUUUAAGCUGAUUACUUGCGCCCCAAGUUGCUCUAACUUCUCAUUAUCAAAGGAUUGUCAUGGAUGAGUUAAGUCCACAUUAGAUUCUUUUCUAUGCCUUGAGAUCAAGGACUUUUGUUCAUCUUGUAUGGUAAAAUGGCAUAGGUCUGGAUUUAAUCAAGGCAUUAAGUGGAUUCACUCUUAAGAUAGUAAAACUAUUUAACUAAAACCAGAACUUAGAGUAAGCUAAACUUUAGAUCAUUAAACGACCUAACAUGACUUGAAUACAUACUAGGGAAUUCAUUAUAACACCAGAUCUAUUAAUUAAAAGACAAAACAAAAGGAAUCGAGCAAGAUUGAACCUUGUCGGACAAUGUUGGAUCUUUCGCCAUUUUUUUCUUUGCCACUACAGGGAUCCGAGAGUUUCAAGGGAGAAUGGAUGACAAAUAAAGUUACACAAGAGAAUCGAUACUACUGGUGAGCAGCAGAGCUAUUAAACUAGACAAAAGAUGGUUUUUAUGAGGGCUGAUCCUGAAAAUGAUUGAGGUUGGGGGCUGACUACACCUUCGUAUGCAAAUCUGGCUUGAGUAGAGUUUGUGUAUUUGUUUGUUUGAUUGGUUGAGUGUCCUUGUCUCUAGGCCUUCUUGCUCAUUUUAUAGGCGAAUUAGCCUAACUACUUGCAGCUUGGUUUCUGCCCGAAAGCAACUGAGGGGUAAUGACUUAUCAGUAAUUUACGUACUCUGUCAUUCAGAAAGUACUUUUGGGCUGAAAGUAGGCUGAUUUCCAUCAAGUGUCACUUCUUUCAAGCCACUAGCUUUUGCAUUAAAUGUGGAAUCAUCAUUUUGCCUUGGGCUGGGCGAAUGGGUUUAAUGAUGGGCCUUCGAGCAUAAUCAUGCUUCCUGGGCUUCUUUUUCAAGCUUCUCUUCCUUCAGCCCAAAGUUCAAAUAUUAACCCAAACAGUUCUAUUAUUUGAUUAGAUUUUCCAUUUUUUUUGUUUGUGGGGGGCGCGGGGAAUGAACCAUACCGUUCUCACCCGUAUUAAUUAGUCAGUGUUAAACAUGUUUAUAGGGAAUUGAGCAGUUGAACUUAUCUGCAAGCUUCAUGGUUUUUGUGAGCUCUAAACUGUUUAGUUAGUAUUUUACAAUUGAUAAAUAAAAUUUGAAUAAAAUAACGCAUAUAAAUUAAGAAAAAAAAAUCUAGUAGUCACAUGGGGCAAACUACAUGACGGGUCCAACAUACUUUUGUCACGGACAUGGGGGGUGGUGGAUGGGGACUUUGAUCCAUCAAAUAUCAACCACAUCGUACACUUAGAAAGAAUUUUGACGUUGUGAGAAACAUAUUUUGAACAUGUUUAUUGAUAAACUUUAUCAAGGUCCACCACAAAUAGCGUGGAUAUUAUCUCAACUUAAUCACCUAUUAUUAGAUCUUAGGUUUUAUCAUCAAAGUCUUCGAUGAUACUUGCGUAAAAAAAAAAAGAAACUCUCUUAUUAUUUAUAUUAUUUUGUCAUAUUCACCGCUUUGGGACUCAUUUCUCUAACUUUUAUCACUUUAAACAAAUGUCCAAUUAAUUUUCACAACUUGAUGCAAUGUAUAACAAUAAAAUAGAGGCCAUUUUCUAAGGAACUAGGAUUCUCUCCCCUUCCUCUCCUCCUAUCCGAACGGCCACGAAUAAGCUAUGUUAACAUCUUGUGUUGCAUUCUUUAUAAAGAGAGAAAUACAACAAAAAUGUGAGAGGAGGGGACAAAAGAGAAGGAAAAUUGGAGGGGAGGCAACCCUAGAUAGAUAGCUCAUUUGUCUUCACUCACGAAACUUAAAGGUGAUAUUUUCUCACAUAUUUGUAUUAUAUCUCUUUGCUUGUAAGCUUCGGUUUUCUGUGUCCAGAUAAAUUAACUUCUCCUUUGACACAUUCACACAAGAGGAUUUUCUUUUACAUUAAUUGUACUUGCAAUAUUGAUCAUAUUGUUGACGCACUCUCAUAUAUAUAUAUAUAUAUAUAUAUAUAUAUAUAUAUAUAUAUAAGUGAAAUGUCAAACGCCCACCUAAAUGAAAAAGCAUGACGCCAAUUUUGGGCGUCUAAUGACGUUUCUAUUUCUUGUUUUGCAUAAUUAUAAAUUUCAAUUGAUUUUAGCCUAAUUUACUAUAAGUUUUUUUUUUGUAGCUCGCACAUAUACGGUUCACACAAGCACAUAUGUAGUAAUUUUGUAGCUCGUACAAAGAGAGUUUUCUUGUUUCUCAGAGGCAUUUGUGUCCAAUUAUUUUUGUUGAAGCAUAUUGCACCAAAGCAGAUACUUGAUUUUAUAAUAGUAGAGAUUACGAGUCCGCUUUCCUCUUCCCUUCUCUCUCUCUCUCUCUUCUCUUGUCUCUUUUCCCUUGCUAUUCUCUUCUCCUUUUCUUUUAUUCAUACGUUUUAUUUGUUUCCUUCUCAUCUCUCCCCCCAAUUGAACACAAUUGAUCAAACAUGAGCUGAGUACAACUGAUAAAUAAAAUUUGAAUAAAAUAACGCAUAUAAAUUAAGCAAAAGAAAUCUAGUAGUCACAUUAUUCAAAACCAUUGAAAGUAGGUGUAAAUUAAUAGAGUAAUGUUAGGGAGACUAAAUUUGUAGACUAAAUUUUGUAAUCUAAAUGACAUAGAAGUUGAUGAUUGAAUUAUUACUUGAGUGUUGAUUAAUAUAUAUAUAUAUCCAAGCUCAAUAGAAAACAAAAAUGAAGAUCGGAAAAUAUCAAGCCCUUGCCACCUCCAAGCUCAAACUAUGACCAAUGCAACCCCAUCCCAACUUUUAUAUUUAAAACCUACCAAAUAGGUAUAUCAUGGUCCACAUUAGGCCAUCUCUAACCGAAUAGACUAAACAUAACUCCGUCCAGAAUUAUAGCUCUGCAAGAAAUUAUUUUUUAAUGAAUAGUAUCAGGUCAUAUUCAUAUACCAUCUCCAAUAAACAUAGCCCCUUCAAUAGUUUAUUUAUAUUAAUUAUUCUUUGAAUUUAUUGCUUAAGUGUCAUGUGAAAGACAACUUUUUUCACUUGAAGACAACUUAAAAUGAUUUAUCACAAGCAUUUCAACAAAUAAUAAAAAAGAUUAAUUGUUGAUUCUAAUGAUUAUAAAUUUAUAAAUACACACUAAGCUUUUACUAAUGGUCUUAUACGUAUUACCCAAACAUAGAAUUUUUACAUUGAAGUUUUAACGAAACACUCCAGGUAUUGUUUACUUUUAACUAAAAACCACAUUUUUACCUUUCCCUGGUACUAUUCACUACACAUUUAUUUAUCUUUUUUCAUUAAAAAUUAAAAAAAAUUGAACUUUUCGCUAGUUUUCAUUUUUUACAUCUAUAUUCUUGAAAUAAGUAUAAUAUAUUUUGCAAGGCAGCCUACUUUUUGUCGCAUCAAAAAAUUGGGCCGAAGAGCUUGAGAUUUCCAUUGCUGCAGUCAGUACUAAAUCUAGUGGGGGUGGUUACGGGACAAUGGUAGAUGCCGUUGGAUGCUUUCAAAAGUGGCCUUAGGAUUUGCUGCUAGGCCCAGCAAACGGGCUGGCUAUCAAGCAAACUUGACCAGCCUAAUGCCCUAUUGGCUAUGUUUUGGUCUAGUGGGCUUUAUUGAUUUUAGCUUAGUCUUUGGUUGGAGUUGAAUUUUGUCUAAAUCAGACAAUUUUUUGACCCUUUAACCCUUUAGCCAUCUCCAUUGGAGAUGACCUUAGUAUUUAAGGAAAACUAAUGAAAAGGCCUUGAAAACUUUGAGUUUUAAUGAUAAGGACAAAAUAAAGGGUAAAGUGAAUAGUACCAUGAUUGACUUUUUAGUGUAAAAAUGUGGUUUUUCGUUAAAGUGAACAGUACCGGGUGCUUUUCGUUAAAGUUCCCUAGUAUUUAUUGCCUCAAAAUCUAAAUUUCAAAUAUAGAUUAUAGAAUAUGGAACCCAAUGAUCAAACUAUUAUUGAAGUGAAUAAAAAAUGGACCCAGAUUAACAUUACAUCAGGACGGUGAUCUCCUAACAAAUAAUAGGGUUAAGAAUUCAUAUAGGAUUUUAAGAAGCUUGUUUAUGCUCAUGUGAUUUCCUUAAUCGUCGAUUCUCGGGUCGUAAAGCUUCCAGUUCUUCUUUGUGUGCAGUGAAGAUGGUGGUGGCUGCAUCAUGGCAGUCCAUACCAUUUUAGCAACCUCCAUAACCUUCUUUUUGAUGUUGGGGGCUUGAAUUGUAGGGUGGAGUUGAUGAUUGUGCUUUGAGUUUGGAGAUGAUGGCCUGAUGGGGAUGGUGGUGACCGUUAGUUUGUGGUCGCCAUAAAUUUUUUUGAAUUCCAUUAAAUUUUAAUAUAAACUAUAAUGUUCAAUGAUCCAUGACCUUCUAUUAUUUUAUUUUAGAGACAAAGGAAUCCCUAGUUAAUUUAACAAAAAUUUAUCUACAGCUCAACGGGUGUGAUAUUUUCAAUAUGUUGGGUACUUGUUUGAAAUGUUUAAAAGGGAUGUGAUCAAUUUGGAAUGACACUAAAAUGUAUAGUUUUAGGUACUUAAUCCUUUAAUUAUAAUAAUAAUAAUAAAAAUGUUCAUAAUCUAUUCCUAUUUGGUGGGUUGUAUUUGUUUACCAAGUCAAACAAAACUAACACUCUCCAAUGGAGGAGCCCAUCACAUAAGGAUGUAAAUUUCCAUUUUCCACUAUUUAGGAAUGUAACACAACUUCCACAUGUCCCGCAUUUGCCAUUUUGUGCAUAUGCCACCAAAGUCAACGUGGAAAAUGUGACCGAAGCAAAAUAUGUAGUCGACUCCAAACUUCCUAUAUAUAUCCUUAGUCAUAGGCUUAAUUUGCUGAAAAAAAUUCUAGUAUUUAGCUCAUCUGUCUUCAAACUUAAAGGUAAAUUUUUUUUCGGUUAAUUUUUUUCUUGCCUAGCUCUACCGCUUUGUUUGUAGGCUUUUGUUUUCUGUGGUCCAGAUGCUUUCUUGUACUUACGUUUCCUUUGCUCUUCGUCUCUUUUGAGGGCUCUUGUUUUUCCUGUUUAAGUUGUGAGUAUGUAGCUAGGUUAGACCAGUUGACGACAAUUUGAAAUCUCCGUUCUUGUAGAUUAGACUGGUUAAAAAAGAUCGUCUUGUUGUAAAAGCUAAUUAAAAACAGAUGUUGAUUUGGCUUUUUGGAUGAUUUUUUUCAAGGAAAUAAUUUUAUCAAUGGAUGGGAUGGACUUAUCACCCAAGUCAGCCCAGAAGUUGUUUGAAGGAGAUGGAGGAGCAUAUUACAUUUGGUCGAGUUCAGAUGUUCCAGUGCUUGGUGAGGCCAAGGUUGGUGCAGGCAAGCUUGUUCUUCAACCUCAUGGCUUCGCUCUUCCUCACCAUGCAGAUUCCUCCAAACUGGGAUAUGUUCUUCAAGGUAAUUAAUAACUAAUUAUUAACUACAGCCUACAACUACAUAUAUAAUUAACUGAAUUUAUAUAAUGAAAAUGUAGUGUUCCGUUCCGUCUGUGCACACUAAAAAAUCUCUCUUUCUGUACAUGUAAUUAAAAAAGGUUGAAUACAGAAGUUUCUUUUUUAUUCAUCAAUGCCCUUGUUAUUAUAACUAGUUAUAUGAUGGAAAACAAAUCAUACUUUAGUUGCUAGACUAUAAUGCUUAUAUUAUAUAGUUUGUUAUGAAUUUGAACCACAUAUCCCAAGCGAUAAACAAGUUGAUGAAGAAAAUCCCAUAUAAUCUUUACUAGUUUAGAUUCACAAUUUGACAAGAUAACAAUAUGUUAUAUUUGUUAUUGGAGUAAAUUGUAACAAUGAUCCCUCAACUUUAAUCAAAUUGGAGCAAUGGUCCCUCAACUAAAAAUCUAUUACCAUUGGUCCCUCAACUUAUCAAAAUGUGUAGCUAUAGUCAUUUUCAUCAAUUUCGUCAAAAUUUUGUCAAAAUAAGUUAUGUUGGAAUAACCAUUUAUAUAAUUAGGGUCCCUCAACUAUCAAAGUGUGUAAUUAUGGUCAUUUUCGUCAACUAGUAAAAAAUUUUGUCAAAACGAGUUAUGUUGGAAGGACCAUUGCUACAAUUAGGUUAAAGUUAAGAAAUCAUUUCUCCAGUUGAUUUAAAGUUGAGGGACCAAUGAUAAUGAAUUUUUAGUUGAGUGACCAUUGCUCCAAUUAAGUUAAAGUUAGAGGGCUAUAGCUACAAUUUGCUCUUUGUUAUUGGAUCAUAGAAGUUCAAAGAUUUUAGCAUUAACUAUCGUCUUUGUUACGACCUGAUCGAUCAGGUUGACCCAAAUAAUCAACAUGAUCAAUAGUUAAGAUUCAGGUUCUCGCAUGAAACCAGUAACUAUAUGUCAAGGAUUUGUUAUUUGGGGAACAAAGAAGUUUGAAGAUCUUAACUAGCACCAAAUGGUGAUGCAGGUAAUGAUGGAUUAGUAGGAAUGGUCUUCCCUAACACAUCAGAGGAGGUGGUGGUUAGGGUUAAGAAAGGAGAUGUGAUACCAUUACCAGUUGGAACAAUCUCAUGGUGGUUCAACAAUGUUGAUCACUCUGAGGAGCUUGUUGUUGUUUUCAUGGGUGAAACUGCCGGAGCCCACGUUCCCGGUCAAUUUUCGUACUUUUUUAUUGCCGGAACCCUAAGUAUACUUGCAGGUUUCUCAACAGAAUUUGUCAGCAAGUCCUUCAACAUCACCGAGGAUGAAGCUGAUGGCAUCACCAAAAGCCAGACUGGGGCUUUGAUCAUCAAGCUAGGUCAAGAUGAAAAAGCCAAAAUGCCCCUCCCCAAUCUAAAACUCACCGACAAAUUUGUUCACAACAUCAGUACUAGUAGUACAACUACAUUAACUGAAAAGGAAUUUCCUUUUCUUAAACAAGCUGGGUUAAGUGUUAACCUCACAAAACUUGAGGCCAACGCAAUCAGCUCUCCAAUUUACACAGCCGAUUCCAUAGUCCAAGUGAUUUAUAUUGCUCGAGGGAGUGGCCGGAUACAGAUCGUGGGUGUUAACGGUCAACGUUUGUUGGACGCGGAGGUAACUGCUGGGCAGCUGCUUGUGGUACCAACGUUCUUCAUGGUUGCUAAACUUGCAGGACAUACUGGGCUGGAGUGUUUCACUCUCAUGACUAGUUCUCAGUAAGCACAUUGCGCUGUCACAACACCACUACCUUCCUUUUAGUACCUUUUUUUUUUUCCUAAUGAAAUCAGUUCGAUACUGAAGUGCGAGUGAUUCUAUUUGGACAAACGAAAGUGAUGCAUUUGUUGACACACAUGUAAAUACAAAUGGAGCAUUAUACAUGACACGAAUACACCGCUAAUAUAGUGUCCCUUACCAAUCCUACAACAUGAAGUGUUAGUUUCUCUACACAUGACAUUAUGUAAUUGGUAUAGAAUACUACAUCAGCCGUAUAACUAUGUCAUGUAAGUCCUCAUAAUUCAUAAAAUACUAAUUGGAAUUAUAUUUGCAGGCCUGUCGUGGAAGACUUAGCUGGAAAGACAUCAACAUUGGGAGCAUUAUCACCGGAGGUGCUGCGAAUAUCCCUUAAUAUAACUCCAGAGCUAGAAAAACUUCUCAAGUCCAAGAUUCGAAAGGUCCGAUCAUGAUCAACAACCGAAUUAAUUAUUCCAAAUCAAUGCAUCGUGAUUAAUGUGGUAGUUAAAGUCCGCCGAAAAUCUUUUAUGUAAUCUUGUCUGUUAUGUUAAAAACCAGAAAAAUAAGUCACAAGACGUAAAGGUCUUUCUGGAUAUCAUUGUAUUUUUAUGCGCUUUGUGUAAUAAAAGGCCAAAAAAAAUUCGUGGUCCAUGUGGUGACACGGCAUUUUCAAUGUGACCCUUGUGGUAAAAAAACUUUUAAUUAAACUCUCGUGGUGAGCCUUGUGAGCAAUUGAGGUUCAAAUCCAAACUUCAGUUAGUCUUCCGUUAAAUAAACUCACGUGACUAUCACAUGGAUGCCCAAAUUCAUCAUUUUAAUUCAAAUUACAUCCUAUUCCAAAGACAUCUAGUAUGAGUUAGUGUUUAACGGAAAUAAGAUUUCACAUAAAAUAAGCUUGAAAUGCAAAGAGUGAAACAAAACCUGUAAAACCACACCAAUGGAUAGGAGAAGAGGUGAAAGUGAAGUUGCGCCUAAUUUCUCAGGUACGAUUUAAUUUCGUUUGGAAAUCAUAAUACUUGUAAUAAACCAUUGUUUUUUUCAAUGUCAACACGUCUUUGAUCAUGAGUUAGAGUCUUAGUCUGUCUUAAAUUUUCAUUCUUGUAUCAAUCUGUACCAGUCCAAAUGCAUAUACGCCUUUCAAUUUUGUCUUUAAUUGGUAGUGUGGUUUGAUACACACCGUAGUCAACCAGUACACAACCUUUCAAUUUUUUUCUUACUCUUCUUUGAAUUUUGGUUAUUUAAGUUUCUUACGCUCUUGAAAUUCAUAUGCGGAGGGCAGACAUGAAAAUUGAAUUUUCUGCAAUACCUUUCACCCAUUGUCUUUAAUUUUUUUUUAAUUAUGCAAUGUUUGUCACCCGUCUAAAUGCAUAAAUACUACAAUGCAUUUCCCCCCCCAUUGUCUUUAAUUCUUUAAGUUCUUCUUGUAAAUUAUCUCUCAUUUUCACUUGUUUCAAUUUGCUUUGUGCACUAGAAUCAGAUGCCAACUUUUUAACUCACAUAAAAAAAAAACAAGUGUAUGUCAUAACCCACCCAGAAAGAACUAGUGUAUACCUAAGUCAUACUAGAUGUUCAUGGAAUAGGAUGUAAUUUGAAUUGAAAUGACGUAUUUGACCGAUCCAUGUGAUAGUCGCAUGAGUUUAUUUAACGAAAGACUAAUGGAAGUUUGGAUUUGGACCUCAAUUGCUAACAAGACUCAGCACGAGGGUUUAAUUAACAAUUUUUUCACCACAAAAAUUACAUUGAAAGUGACGUGUCAUGACAGAAACCACAAAAAAAAUUUGCCCUUAAUAAAAUUUGUGUGGAUAAUGGAUCACGGAUGACAAUAAAAAAUAGAAUACAAACAGACUACUCGAUCUUCACUUUCCCAGUGGACCCAAAAAAAGAUUUCGCACUUUGUCCCUAAUAAAUAAAUCGGCUAAGGUGCUUGUACCCUAUUUUUCAAGUUUUUUACUACGCAUUUUGGCCGUGGGAUGAUAGAAAAAUAAGUCAAUUUUAAUGGUAUUUCAAGAUAUUAUUAUUUAUUUUUUGGAUCAGGAUAAUUAUCUUGAGAGAUUAUUAAAGAGUUAUCUAAGUUAGCUAUUCUGAUUGAAUAUGGUUGAGUUUACACGAGAUAAGAUUCUCUCAUCUCAUAUUUUCUCGUCAUUUUCUCCUUUCAUUUCUUAUUUAAACAGUUACAAUUAAAUCAUAUUAAUAUUUACUUUUUUAAGAGAAAAAGGACAAAAAAAAUAUGAAAAGAGAAGAGGAAAGAUGAGGGAAGAGAUAACAGAGAAUCCUACUCCUUAUCAGAAAUAGGAUUGAUCUUCGGGUUGGUGGUGAGGUGAAGUACGUAAGUGGUUCGAAAAUGACUAGCAUGUGGUAAUCUUCUAACUGUCAACCACAUGUUGAUGGGAUACAACCAUCAUGGUUUGAUAGAGCUCUUUGACGUGUGGGAUAAAUCUCCAAUAGUUUGAAAAUUACCAUAAAGCUACAUUUAAAAGAUGAAGAUUUAUGGCAUAACGAGACCAUGAGAGAUGUGGUUUGAUGGGUGUGGAAUAUCAAGAAUAUUUUGAUAUUUAUCGUGGGAGAGAUGGGUGUAGCUUGAAAAACGUCUCUACGGAUUGAUGGCCAGGAGUAUGGAAAGAACGUAGCCUAUAAAUACGAGGGACUCUGAAAUAUGAAAACUUUUCUAACUCAACAAAUAACUUAAAACACUCUACAAGAAAAUUCUCAUUCUAUAUGAAAUUCUUUUCACACCCCUAAGAAAAACACUAAGUAUCCUAACCUCUUCGUCAACACAUGUUCAAUUUGGAUAAGUAAACAGCACAUACAAUUUGGACAACAAAACACAAUUUGGAUAAGAAAACAUAAAACACAACAAUUUGGACGAGAAAACACAAUAUGGAUAAGAAAACAUAAAACACUAUUUGGAUAAGAAAACAGCAGUGGAGCAUGGUGCUCUUUGGAUAAGAAAACAGAAAACACAAUAAUUUGGACGAGAAAACACAAUAUGGAUAAGAAAACAGAAAACACAAUUUGGAUUAAAAAAAAGCAGUGGAGCAUGGUGCUCUUUGGAUAAGAAAACAGCAAUGGAGCAUAGAGCACCUUCAAUUUGGAUGCAUAGGAGCACCUUCAGUUUGGAUGAGUAUAUAAUACUACUUCUAGGGUGGUUUAUUAUCCAUCCAAGUCUCGAUCGACGAAAUUCAGAAGGUUCAUCAUUAAGCUUUUCUUCUUUUGUAUGUUCAUUUGUUUAGGUUCUUCAUUUUUCUCUCUUUCUAGCUUUAGAAUACAGCGCAACAACAAUAAACUUCUCUAUUGACACAAUCACACAAGGGAAUUUCCUUUUGCGAUAAUUGUAGUUACAAAUUGACCAUAUUGUUGACACACUCUCAAAUAGAAUGAAAUGUGAGACACACUGUCUAAACUAAAGAGUGUGACGCUAACUUCGAAUGUCUAAAUGACGUUUCUUAAUUUUUCUCUUUUUGUGUGAGUAUAAAUCUCAAUAUUUGAUUUUAGCCUAAUUUAUGGUAAAUAUUUUGUAGCUCGCACAUAAGCAUUUGGAGUAAUUUGUACGUAGCUCGGAAAUAGAGGGCUUUUUUUUUUAUUAUUAUUAUUUUUUUAUCAGAGGCAUCCAUUUAUUUUUGUUGAAGUAGAGGCUUGGCUUUAUAAUAGUAGAGAUUAUGAUCCCGCUCUCCUCUUCCCUACUUUAUCUCUUCUCGUUUGCAUCUGUUGUCUCUUUUCCCUUGCUCUUCACUUCCCCUUUUCUUUUCUUCUUACAUAUUCACUGUUCCAUUUUCAUCUCUUCCCCAAAUCGAACAAAACUGAUCAAACUGAGCUGAAUCUGAACCGAACUAGUUAUACUAUUUAAUUUUAUUUGUGAUUUUUUGGGAUGAACCAAAUCGAACCAAACCGUUCUCACCUGUAAUUAGUUAGUGUUUAAACAUGUUUAUAGGGAUUUGAAUAAAUCUGCUGACUUCAUGCUCUUUGUGAUCUCUAAAUUGUUUAGUUAAUAUUUUAGAUUUACAACUGAUAAAUAAAAAAUAAAAUAAAAUAACGCAUAUAGAUUAAGAUAAAUUUUCGUAACAAUUGAAAGUAGGUGUCAGUCAAUAUAUAUUUCCAAAUGCUUGCGUUAUGGCUGAGAGAUAAUUUAUACACACGGCAGUGAAGCAAAUAAUACAGCGUACCUAGUCCUGUUCACUUGAGGAGAUAUUUUUUCAUGUAUUCGGAACAGGAACGGUACAUCAUGUGUUAUAAGAGGCACAACCGUGAUGCAUUUGGGAACUCGAGGCGUCUGUAUCACGUACAUGGGGUUUUUUUGGGGGGGGGGGAAGCUAUAUGACAGGUCAUCUGGGAACUCAAGGCGUCUGUAUCACGUACAUGGGGGAUGGGGGGGAAGGAUUUGGAUCCUCUCCUGAGCAAGAGAUCAUGAUCCUCGAGAUCAAACAACAUGGACCGUUGGAUUUUAAUCCAACGGUUAUAAUUAUUAUAACUUUUAGAAGGACUUCCUGUUUGUAGCUAUUAGAUCAAAAUCUAACGGUCCAUGUUGUUUGAUCCCGAGGAUCCUGAUCUCCUGCUCAGGAGAGGAUCCAAAUCUGGGGGGGGGGAAACUGUAUGACGGGUCCAACAUGCUUUUGUCACGUACAUGGGGGGUGGUCGGUGGGGACUUUGAUCCAUAAAAUAUCAACCACAUCGUUCACUAGAAAGAAUUUUGACAUUGUGAGAAACAUUUUGAAUGUGUUUAUUGAUAAACUUUAUUAUGGUCCACCACAAAUAACGUCGAUAUUAUCUCAAUUUAACCAUCAAUUAUUAGAGGGUUGUUUUAUUAACACCCCAUAAUUUGUUGAAUGCACCCCACAUUUAAAAAAUUUCCCAAUAAUUCCAGUUUUACACUUCUUUUUGUUAAAUCCACCCAACCUUCCCAAAAUAAAAAAAAAAAAUCUCACAACCAACCCUAUCAAAGUAUGAAACUUCGGAUCAUCUGAACCUUUGGAGAGGCAAUAAGAGCAUUGCAUGUACCCUGUUUUCUAGGAGCUUUUUCUACAUGUUUCUAGAAAGUGUAUUAGGAGUUCAUUCAUAGCUAAUUGCUUUUGAUAAUGAUCUUGAAAUUAAAAUCAUAUCCUAUUAUCCAGGUUUCACGCUACUGCAUUAGGGUUUUGUUCUUAUUUUGUACUUUUUCUUCUGGAUAAUAUUCAUAUCCUUGCUUGGGAAUUCCUAGUUGGACUUGGUAUAGUUCUCAAAUUGAAAAUUGAUAUGAAUAUCAUGCAAAAGAAAAAGAACAAAAAUAAGUACAACGAUGAUUAUAAUGAUGUUGAGAAAAUGUAAACAGUACAAAUAAAAGGCGAGGAUCUAAACAAUGGUGAUGGACUGGGGAGUUUUAUUUUAUGCAGGUUUAAAUGAAGGGUAAAUUUGGAAUUAUAGAAGAAAAUUUUGAUUAUGGAGUGUUUUCAUCAAAUUGUGGGGUGUUAAUAAAAAAACCCUUAUUAGAUCUUGGGUUUUAUCAUUAAAGUCUUCGAUAAUAUUCGUGUAAAAAAACUCUCUUAUUAUUUAUAUUAUUUUGUUAUAUCUCCACUUCGGGACUCAAUUCUCUAACUUUUAUCGCUUUAAACAAAUUUCCAAAUAAUUUUCACAACUUGAUGCAAUGUAUAACAAUAAAAGAGAGGCCAUUUUCUAAGGAACUAGGAUUCUCUCCCCUUCCUCCCCUCCUCUUUGAACGACCACGAUUAAGCUACGUCAACAUCUUGUGUUUCCUUCUUUAUAAAGAGAGAAAUACAACGAAAAUGUGAGAGGAGGGGACAUAAGAGGAGAAAAAUUGGAAGGGGAGACAACCCUAGAUAGUUAGCUCAUUUGUUUUCACUCACGAAACUUAAAGGUGAUAUUUUCUCACAUGUUUGUAUUAUAUCUCUUUGCUUGUAGGCUUCGGUUUUCUGUGUCCAAAUAAAUUAAUUUCUCCCUUGACACAUUCACACAAGAGGAUUUCCUUUUACAUUAAUUGUACUUGCAAAAUUGAUCAUAUAAUUGACACUCUCAUAUAGAAGUGAAACGUGAGAUGUCCGUCUAAAUUAAAAAGCAUCACACAAUUUUUGAGCGUCUAAUGACAUUUCUUUUUCUUCUUUUGCAUAAUUAUAAAUUCCAAUUGAUUUUAGCCUAAUUUACUGUAAGUUUUUUUUUUUGUAGCUCGCACAUAAAUGAUUCACACAACUAGGGGUGGGUUCGGUACGGUUACCGUACCAAAACCCUUGUACCAAUUACCGUACUAAACUUUUGGUUUGGUAAAAUCUAUUACCAUUACCAUACCAAACUUUCGGUAUACCUAAGUUCGGUAUUGCCAAAAGUUUGGUUGGCAUGGUAUGACAAUGGUAAUUGCCAUUUUGUUUUGGGACAAAAUAUGUUUUUGUUUUUUUAACCCAAUUCAAGGGCAAAACUUUUUUUUUGUACCUUUAUCUCAUACAUUAUAGAUUAAAUUCAUCUAUUAUUCAUCAUUCACAAUU